CUUUCACAAUAUCUUUGGCGAUAUUUUCUUCAUCAGUACGAUCAACUCUGCCAUUGUACUCCAAGGAAAGUUCAGGCUGAGGACUCGAGUGGUGUUCCAGCCUCAUAAUAAGAGGCACUCUCGUGCAGAUGCCUUGGCCCCGAGGUAGGCUGAUGCCGGCCAAGGAUUCGAGCACGCUAGACUUCCCGGAUGACUGGUCUCCGACCACCACAAUCGUUGGCAGCUGAAUGCCUUCAUCCAUCACCUUCAAGCUGCGUAACUUGUCUACCGCAUCCAGAAGAGGGCGGAUCUUGUCGUUAUAGGACGACACAAUGGGUGCGCAUUUGAGAGGUACUACGUCUAGUCCUGCCUGAACCAUUGCGAGUGAGCCUUCACCGUUUAAGACUGUGUAACUCGAUUCCAUUUACCUUCGUCCUUCCGUUUCUGAAUUAUAGGAUGUCGAAACAAUGGUGAAAAUCCAGAGGGAAACCGAGAUUACUUGUCAGAGAAGAUAUCAGUCAGGAAGAAGUGAGAAAGCUGGUUUUAGUAAGUGCCUUAAGGUUAAAGGCUCCUAGUUGUAUGUAUAAUUGUUCAGCAAAACCUAUCGAAGUAAAUGACAACCAGCCGUUUCAAAGGCUCCUAGUAGUAUGUAUAAUUGUUUAGCAUUUUGAAGAUGCUACAUGAAAUGUCGUUUUUAGCCCUUUCCUUUAUCUUUUUUAUUUUUUUUCCCGCGUGUUGCUCGGCUUUGCCGUUUUGCCUUUUUUAUUCUAGGUAUUUAUUUCCUUUUUCUCUCUUGACUUCCCCUCGCACACUUCCAUGCAAUCCCUGUCGCCAUUGUGGCACAAAACACAAUAAAAAAUUAUAAAUAAAUUAGAUGCAUUCGCAAAAUAAUUAUUAAAAAUUUUGAGAAGCCCACCUGUCUUCCAUUGCUUUGCCUUUUGGUUAUUUUAUUUUUUGGUUUUGCUGUUUUUUUUGUCUUCCACGCCGAGCCUGCAAUGGUUUGUGGCAAACAACACAUAGGGGGUGGGUUCAAAAAACCGAAAACCGAAAAAAAUCGAAAAUCAAACCGAAUCGAAACCGAACCGAACAAAAAAACCGAACCGAAUUGAAAAAACCGAACCGAACCGAAUUAAUUAAAUUAAUAUUUUUUUAAAUUUUAUUUAUUUAAUUAUUUGUUUUGGGUAUUGUUUUUUAAACCCAAUUUGUAAUAUUUUUAAACCCAAUUUUAUUUGUUUUGGAUAUUAUUUUUUAAACCCAAGUUGUAAGCCCAAUGUGUUACCAAAUACUUACUACCCUUUUCUCAUUUUUCUCACACUCCAAUUUUACUUCUAAUUAUUUAUGGUUUGUUUGUUUCAUCACUAAACCAGUUGCUUUCCAUUUGUCUCUUGAUCAAUCAUGUUCUUCUUUGUUUGUCUUUUUAUUGUUUGAAUUGAAAUUAUGAGUGAUUUGGAGUAAUAAUCAUAGGGUAAUCAAAUUUACUUGUACAACUUCUCUCUCUUUGCACUCCAGUCCAUUUACUUUCAUAUCUCUGCUGAGUAAAAAUUGAGGGGGAGAGAGAGAGUUAAACAUUUUAAAUUUUAUUUUUUGUUGCUUGACUUUGUAAAAGACUGAAACUUUCACUGCAUUCUCUUAGAAAACUAAACAUACUAUUGGAUUUGAUGGUUGUUUGUGAUUUGGGUUUUACUGCUUUGUUUGCCCUUUAUUAAUAAUCAUGUAAUGUUUGAGUGAUCUAUUUUGCUCAAAAGUUUUAGGACUUUCCUUGAUAUUUUUUAAGAAACCAAACAAGGAUUAACCCUAUGUAUACUUUGUUUGUUUGCUUGAUGUGAAAAAAAAAUAUCCAAAACAAAUAAUUAAAUAAAUAAUACUGAGAAAAAGAGAAUUUAAAAUAUCAUUACUUUUUAAACCCAAUUUCUCAAGAACCAAACAAAGAUUAACCCUGUGUAUACUUUGUUUUUUUUUAAAAACCCAACCAUGAUGUAAAAAAAACCGAAACCGAACCGGAAAAAACCAAACCGAAAAAAAAAUAAACCGAACCGAAAUUUCGGUUCGGUUUCGGUUUUGGCAAAAAACUGAACCCACCCCUAACAACACGUAUAAAAAAAAUUAUUUGCCCAAAAAAAAAGAUUACAUGGACAAAACAAUUAUUAAAAAUUGAGAUAUUUGUCCCCUUUUUCUCUCCUGACUUCCCCUGCUUCCCUGCAUUCUUGCCAUGUCGCCUGUUGCAGGGAGAAGGUGAGAAUUGGUUGUGCCACGUGUUGGUGAUCAUGUUGUUUACUUUUUGGGGUUUAUAUUGGUGGAGGCACAUUCUCUGCCUUCUUAAUUUCGGUGUCCUCCUGUUUUGUGUGGUCACGGUUAAAUCAUUUCAACAUUUUAUAUUAUUUUUUAAUAGAGAUAAUAAGACAAAAAAGAAUAGUAAUAUAUAAUGUUGAUCUGACUUAACCUUGACCACACAAACAGGAGGGCACGGGAGAGCACUGAAAUUGGGAGGGCAGAAAAUCUGCCUCCUAUAUUGGUUCAUUUUAGUACCGUUUGGUACGCAGACGGGACGAAAGGGAACAAGACGGGAUGAGACGGGACGAAACAGUGGUUCCAUGUUAUAUUUGGUAUGUACAGGACAGAACGGGAAAGUUGUUCCGUUGUGGGUUUGGUAAGCGCAAGACGGAACGGAACCAAAAGAAUAAAAUGAUUAACUUACCCCUGUUUCGUCUGUUGUUUGGUACAAUAUUUAGGCUUGGUAUGGGACGGAACAAUUUCAUUAUUUUUUCACCUUCUUGCUGCUGCUUAUCUAUGAUAUAUUUUGUACACUAUACUUGGAUGUGUUCAUAUUUCAUACCGUGUAUAACAGAAAACAAGAGACAUGUAUUUGUACUUUAUGUUGCUCAUAUAAUUAAUUUAGUGGGAUAAUACGUCAAUUAAUUUUAUGUGAUUUAAAAAAAUAAUAUGGUGAGAGCAUGCCAUUGGCUUGGCACUUUGGAACAUGGCAGUGUAGCCACAAUAUGUAUAUGUGAUGAAUUACAUAUGAAAAGGUUGGUGUGGUAGAACAACCGUUGAUGCAAUGGCUAUGUUGGAAUCUUUGACACAAUCUGCUUUCAUCUCUUCAUCAUCACAUUGAAAUGCAAAUUGUGUCAAACAAUAUGUAUAUUAUAAGUUGAGAUGUGAGUCAAUUGGAUGUCUAUGGCAAUGGUUGUCAUGCAAGGAUGAAAAAUAUAGAAGUUUAAUGAUAUUAUCUUGCUAAAGCAAUAAACAUGAAAUAUCCAGAGCUUAAACAUGAAAUCCCAAAUUAAACAUUCAUCUUGACUUAAAGAAAAAAGAAAAGAAAGAUAAUGUCUUACUAAACCCCAGAAGUUGAUAUAGUUCAUUCAUAUCAUACUAAACCCCCUAAUGCUCAGAUGUCAUCCAUAAAUAUUUUAAUGAAAUCUGCCUUGUGAGAGUCAUCCAGGGUACACCAAAUACUCAACAUAUCAGUAUUUUUCACUAAUUUUUAUUGAAAUUUUCAGCACUUGAUCAUAUGGGAGACCCAUGGCCUGAACUCGAUACAAAAAAUUUAGUCUCAUAUUCAUCUAUACCUUCACAUGAAAAAAAAACACAUGAAUGAAUGGAGCAUCAACAUACGUGGGAUUCAAUUACAAGCAUAUGAUUAAAUGGUAAAACAAAGUGGAGCUUCAUAUCCUAAUUGCAAUUCUUAAAGUGGAGCAUCAACUUUGUCAUGCACUGAAAAUCUGAGUGAUACCAUAUGAGGAUUCGAGUAAUGCUAUAUGACCCAAAUGCAGUUCAGUCUACAUUAUUAAAAGAUGGCAGUCCGAACAACAAGAAUGUACCAGCUUUAACAAUGACUUCUAAGUUUUGCAUAUGCUGAAGUUAAGAAUAUUCAAGCAUCAAAUAUGGCAGUCUGAACUCAAUACACUAUAAGACCUUACAUAAAUAGGUGACUACAUUAUUAAAACAUACCAGCAGUACUGCAAUAAAUAGUGAGCCAUACUAUUAACGAUCAUUUAUGACACGCCCCGAUCCCGAUGUCCUGUAGACAUCGAGAUGGUCACGUGUUGGCCGACACCCGAGGGGUGACGUAAGCCAUUCGAUUAAAGUAAAAACCCAUAAAAUGCUCACAAGCAUGAAUAAUAUAGCUCAAACCAUAGCAAUUAAACGUAAAGCAGCAGAAACAUAAUUACAUUAAAAUAAUAUUCAACUGCCAACACAAAACAAAACAAGAUACAACAAACCCUGUCCAGAGCAUACGUCUAAUAUAGAUUACAAAAGAAAGAAUAUAAAUUGAAUAACAAAAGGAGUGGAUCCUACAAUGAGAGGACUCAAAGAUGCCAAUGCAGAAGUGUCUUAACGCCGGGAUUGUAUGCCUCGAAUCUAAGCCCUAAAGGGGGCGCAAAACAAAGGUGAGUGGACCAAUUUGAUAUACAUAUAAGAAACAAUUAUCAACAUACUAUCCCGCAGGUUUUAUGAAAACUCAUAUAUAUCAUGAUAAACAUAGGUUUAUCGAAACCUAGAAUGUCGUGCAAUAUUUCAAUUCAUAACUCGCCAUGCAAUGUCUCAAUUCAUAACUCGUCGUACAAUAUCUCAAUUCAUGAUUUGCAUAUAAUAAUCACUAGUGUCAAAUGUUCACAUAUAUCCCUCCUGGCCCUAUGCCAUCUCCCCGUCCCUGAGCAUACAGUUAGAGGAAAAUAUCGCUUCAGGCCCUAUGCCAGCUCCCCGUCCAUGUGCUAAAUAGCCAGAGGAAACACACUCCAGGCCCUAUACCAACUCCUCCGUCGCUUGGGAUGGACCGGAAUCUAUCUCUCAUCCCGUAGCGGAAAUUGGGACCACUAGGUAAUAUAGAACCAUUGCACAUACAUCUCAUAAACAUUCUCAUAAACUCAUGCUUCUCAUGUAUGCAUUUCUACUAAUAAAACAUGCAUUUUUAGAAAGGGGUCACUCACAGUACUUCGCCGUCGAAAGCCGCGCUGCUAGCGAAGAAACAGUGCCACAAUAUAUGCACUUAAGCACAUAAAGGGUUCAACACAGUCAAACUCUAUUCAGAUGAUUUAAUUUAGGAAAACAGACUUAAAAAACGGAUCUAAGACGUCGAAAUUAACCUACGAGGGAAAUUAACCUACGAGGGGUCCUGAACGAAAUCCAAAAAGUCAACUCAGAACAGUCAACGAUCAACGGGUCAAAGUCAACGGGUCGGGUCAACCGAGUUUUGGAUUGGAUUUGGAUCUGGGUAUAGGGUUUGGGUUUUUGGGUCACGGGCCAGAGGCCCUAAUUGAAGGAACCCAAAAGGGUUCCCUGGGUUUGGGUUACACGGGCCAAAGGCCCUGGUCUUCUCGGCCCAAGGCUUUAAGCCUAGGGUUUGGGUUUUAGCUGCCAAGGCCCUAAGGGCUUUUGGGUUUCGAAUUGAACGGGCCGAAGGCCCCAACUAAAAUAAAAAAAUGUAACGAGCUAGGGAACUGGGUCUGCUAGCAAUGGGCCUAAUGCCCAAAAUAAAAUGGCCCAAAGGCCUUGUGAAUUAACAAGCAAAAUAAUUAAAAUAUAAAUAAAAGAAAAUGGGCUGGGUUUGCAACGGGCCUAAGGCCUGAGGGGGUUUGGGUCGGUCCGAAGGCCUGGGUGCGCCGGGGGAAAAACCAGAGGACACCGAAGCUGCUACAGCUCUGGCUGACUACAAACGGAGGUCUAGUGCUCCAAUCUAGCUACCAAAAUGGAGUACAAGAAGAGGGGAGUACUUUGGUACCUUCAAAUCGAAUUGAAUUGACCGGAUUUGCUCAGAAAAGUCCACGGCGCUCACAGGUUCGUCGGAGAAAUGGGUGUGCUCACCCCGUGUGUCGAUCUCGACCUAAACCUCAGAAAAAUCAUGAAAGUCACUUCCAAUUUCUCAAUCAAACACAAUUUAACCCUGAGUGAGAACGAUCGGAGGCUUACCUAGCCGGAAAAAAAGAAGAUUCGCCGGAGGUUUCCUGUGUUGUUUUUCCUUCGUGCGUGCGUGCGUGUUCACGGGAGGGAUGCGAGGGAUACGGGAGAGAGAUGAGAGAUUUAGUUUCGAGAAAGACUGAGGGAAUACAGAGAGAAAGAGAGAUGAUAGGGAUAGGUGAUGUGGGAAAUGGAGGACAUAAUCAGGGUGGGCCCCUUGGGCUUACCAUUUAAGGCCCAAAACAAUAUUUUAUAAAAAGAAGGAGGGUGGGGUGUAACAAUUUAGCUUAUUAUCCCCCACUCAAGACAGGGCCAGGCCAUUAUUAUUAACAGUUUGAGGUUAAAUACAAAAAUCCUACGUAUUCGUCCGAUCAAUCUGUGGGAGAAGAAAUUUCAAGAUAGGAAGAUAAUAUCUUUCCUUGCUAUAAAAAAACUUCAUUUAUUUCUAAAAGCCAGUGGUAGAAUAACUAUCAACUUGGGGCCACAUCACACAUACACGGUACAACAUUGGUCUCUCUUUAACCUUUGUUAUAAAAACGCAUCUAAGGUCAUUAAAACAAUUCAAACAUGCUCCUUCCACUAACUGAACAACCAAAGAAUGCUGUUCUUCACUAGACAUACUGAUCAACUAUAACAAAACUCACGAUGAUAAGUAAUAGGUACGGUGAAUACAAUCAAAUAAAAUAUGUUGCAAGAUGUAGAACUUUGCAGAAAUAUUAAUGUAAAGAAAGAACAAAAAAUAUUCGAGGCAAACAAGUUACUCGUCCCUAAGAAAAACCCUCAAAUUACUUGAUUCUUCCAACAUAGAAUCCAAUCCAACAUAGGAAAAUCCUAAACAUGUAACCCAAUCCAAUCCAACAGAACCCAAAGACAUCAGAUUUAUAGAUUUUAGCACAUAAAAAAUGAAACUUGAACACUAGAAAACCAGAUAGAGAGAUACCUCUGAAUGUAGUACUGCUCAAUAGGGGGAGUGGAAUGAGAUAAACAGAGGCGGAUCUUUGGUUUCAGAUGCAGUAUUGGGUAGAUCGAAGCACUACAAAAUACAAAGAAAAAAAAAAAAAAAGCAAAUCAGAAAAGAAUACAAAGAAAUCGAAGCACUAAAAAAUACAAAGAAUUUCAGCAGAAUUAGGAACUGGGUGUUAAUGAAAUCGAAGCAAGCAAAUCAGAAAAGAAUAAUAAUGCCACUUCAAGCAACAGCAAACACCAAACCAAGAGAGAAAGUACUACAAAAUACAAAGAAAGAGAGAUCGAGAGACUACACAAUCACUAUCAGAUUGAACCUGGAACGGAGAUGCAGAGCUGAAAGUUCACAGAGAAGCUACAUGGAAAAGGAUGAGGAGGAAGGUUGCGAAGGGGAGAUGCAGGAGGAUGAAUAAGUUCACAGCGACAGAGAGAAGAGAAAUGAUAGUUAGGGUUUGUCGUAUGAUAUAGAUGGUGUAAAUAUUGAAAAAGCUAAGGGGUAUUUUUGCCUUAAAAUUUUAUGAUUUUUGUGUUCCACGUGAUGGAACAACCCGUUCCCGGGGGAGAGGGGAGGUGGCACCAAAAUUUAACCCAUUUUCUUUCCGUGGGACAGCGCGUUCCACAUAAUUUAGGGCACCAAACAUGGGACGGAACACGUCCAUCCCACUCCGUUCUGUCCCAUCCAACGUACCAAACGCACCAUUUCCGUUUCAGCUUAGUUCCCUUUUUGUUUGCACAUUUGUGCAUUGAAAAGUCGAUUAUGCCCUUUGCUGGGUGCUAUCUUCCUUAUUUCAGUUCCUCAUAGUUUAAGCGGCUGUUUCUCAGCCCACGUGUCGGUUAUCGUGAGGUUUGGUCUUCCAUCUAUAUCCACCCUGCUUUGUGAAGCUGCUGGAAAUGUCUUCCAUUUUGAGCGUUUUCUUAAUUUUUUUCGUACUUUGUGUGUGGAUGUUUGAUCUAAUUUCAUUUUUUUGUUUCAAGAAACGUUGGCCUUCGAAUUUUAAGGGUUUAUUGUACAAGCUUGCAAGCCCUUUCUGGGUGAGGUAUAUAAUUUUUGUUUUUGUUCUUAAAUCUUUUUCCAAUAGAAUUUUAAUUGUUUUUUUGGUCCUGUUUUGUUUUUGGUGUGAUGAUUAAUUAUUGGGCGGUGAAGCAUCAACACGUACACAAAAUGGGUGUAGCGGAGAUGAGGAUGCUUCGUUGGAUGUGUGGGCACACGAGAAAGGAUAAGAUUAGGAAUGAGGAUAUCCGGGGUAAAGUAGGAGUAGCCGAAAUUGAAGGAAAGAUGAGAGAAAAUCGGUUACGAUGGUUUGGACAUGUGCAAAGAAGGCCUACUGACGCUCCGAUUAGAAGAUGCGACUAUGGGACAGAGGUUCAGGGCCGAAGGGGUAGAGGAAGACCUAGGAAAACUUUGGAAGAGACCCUAAGAAAAGACUUAGAGUACUUGGAUCUAACGGAGGACAUGACACAGGACAGAACACAAUGGCGUUCUAAGAUUCAUAUAGUCGAUCCCACUCAGUGACUUGGAUUUUCCAAGUCUCCAACCGAGAAGUUUUCCUCACUCGGGAAAUUAAGGGAACACUACCUCAACCUACAUGCUCCACUCAUAAAGCUUCAACAUACAAACUUCAACAAAAGAAAAUUCAAAGAACUUAGCGAAGAAGGCUUUGGUGUAUUUAACACAAUACGUUGAAAUGAAGGAAAACUUAUUUAUUGAUAUCCCUGAUAAGUUACAAAUAUGUACAUAUACAUGAGUCAAAAUAAACAAACAAGAGGGAGCCUUCACAAAUGUUGUUUAGGAGAAGUCUUAGCAGUCGGUAGAGCCCCAGAAAGAGAAGGCACCGGACGGGGAUCAUUCGGAGCCUCAGUACUGGACAGAACCCUAGAAGGAGGAGGCAUCAGAGGUUGAUCAUUUGGAGCUUCAUUACGCGGUACAACCCCAGAAGACGAAGGCAAUAAAUGCCUUUGGAACAAACCCACAAAUCUCUGAUGAUCAAGUAAAACCUGACCAUCAGAUUCCUUCAUCUGGUCAAGCUUCCUCUUCAUGUUUGUAGCAUAGUCAUGUGCGAGCCGGUGCAACUGUUUAUUCUCAUGCUUGAGCCCUCUAAUCUCCUGUUUGAGACUCAUCACUUCAGCCGCCAAUGAUUCAACUUGGCGGGUUCGAGCAAAUAGGCGUUGGACCAUAUUAGACACAGAACCUGCACACUGAACACUGAGAGCCAGAGAAUCCUUAACAGCCAACUCAUCAGACCGUUUGGAAAGUAGUCUGUUAUCUUUGGGAGUGAGAAGGUUCCUGGCCACUACCGCAGCGGUCAUAUCAUUCUUCAUCACGGAAUCCCCAACGGUAAGAGAACCAGUAGGGGAGACGAAUGAUGGGCGUCAUAUGUUGUCUGGAGAAGGCGGGGCUGUCUCUUCAACAAGGUUCAAGUCAAAACGACGGUCGGAGGGGCCAGACAUUUUCAAAGGUGUUGAAGAGAGAAGAGGUCGGACAAAUCAAGAUCUUAGAAGUGCAAGAAUGAAGCUUCUACUGGUGGAGAUUCAAGUGUGCUUUGGAACUUAAUGCCAGCCCCUAUAAAAAUCUGCACUCGACGAAGCUUCAGAAAUCGAAGAGGCGCCUGCUCAGAAAUCGAAGAGGCGUUUGCUUUCUCAAAAGCUGGGCUGCUCAGAGACCACGAGGGUCGAUCUCAGAAAUCGAAGAGGCGUUUGCUUUCUCAAAAGCUGGGCUGCUCAAAGACCACGAAGGCCGAUCUCAGAAAUCGAAGAGGCUUGCUUUCUCAAAAGCUGGGCUGCUCAGAGACCACGAGGGCCGAUUUCAGAAAUCGAAGAGGCACAUACUUUUCCAGCCUUGUCAGCACCUGCCACACGCACACUCAGCUUUGCGGAAAUUAUGGGCAUUCUGUCGAAGAUUUCUGGUGAAGUAGAAAACACAUGAAUCGUACUGUUCAAUCACCCACUUCCCACACGCAACAGUAGCUCAUGGGUACCACAUAUAACUUUGCCAAAGUUAUCUGACAAAGUUGAGACACGUGAAGCUUGCAGCUCUCACUACAUCGCUCUGACCAAGAAGGGUAAAAGAAUAGCAAAGAAACAACACUAACAAAGUUUAGACACAUAAAUUUUGAAGGUCUAGCUACCAUAUUAUUACCCAUAAGGGUAAAGGAACAGUACCACUGCUGGAUAAUUGGAAGGUCCCGGUGUGUCAACCUCUGUACUUCGUGGCAAGGUAGACUAGCAAACAUGCCCAACCUUUACUCACAUUCAAGAAAACACUCCCAACAAGAUUGCUUGCUCCAAAAUCGAAGAGGCACCGCUUUCCGAAUCUUGAGAGCCAGACUCCCAACAUGAUUACUUUCUAAAAAAUCGAAGAGAGGGUAAAGGAACAGUAACACUGCUGGAUAAUUGGAAAGUCCCUGUGUGUCAACCUAUGUGCUUCGUGGCAAGGUAGACUAGCAAACAUGCCCAACCUUUACUCACAUUCGAGAAAACACUCACAACAAGAUUGCUUGCUCCAAAAUCGAAGAGGCAUCGCCCUCCGAAUCUCGAGAGCCAGACUCCCAACAUGAUUACUUUCUCAAAAAUUGAAGAGAGGGUAAAGGAACAGUACCACUGCUGGAUAAUUGGAAAGUCCCUGUGUGUCAACCUCUGUGCUUCGUGGCAAUGUAGACUAGCAAACAUGCCAAACCUUUACUCACAUUCGAGAAAACACUCCCAACAAGAUUGCUUGCUCCAAAAUCGAAGAGGCACCGCCCUCCGAAUCUCGAGAGCCAGACUCCCAACAUGAUUACUUUCUCAAAAAUCGAAGAGACACCGCUCUCCGAAUCUCGAGAGCCAGACCCCCAACAGGAUUGCUUUCUCAAAAAUCGAAGAGGCAUCGUUCCCCGAAUCUCGAGAGCCAGAUCCCUGACAGGAUUGCUUGUUCGAAAACCGAAGAGGCACCACUUUCCCAACUUCAAGAGCUGGAUCUCCUUGGAUAAAGCUUGUCUGUAAUCUUCACACGCAACAUCAGCUUUCCAGAGACCACAGACCACUUUUUCAAAGUGCUCCGACAGAGUUAAAACAUGUGAAGCUGGCAGCUCCCACUACCGUGCUAUGACCAAGCAGGGUAAAGGAAUAGCAUUAUUACUUGAUGUUAGUGAGACUCCUAUAUAUGUCGACCUCCAUCCCCAACGGACAGGCAGACCUGCAAAAAUGCUCAACCAUUCCUCUUAUAUGAGAGGGCACUCCCAACGAAGCCUUUCGAAAUAUUCAACUUUCUUUCCCCUCGAUAAUACCUCUGCAAACAAGCUAUACUAGAGCAAGAAUAUCUCAUAUCAUCAGGGUUAAAAGCAAGAGUAUCCCAUAUCAUGCUUUUUCCCUGUCUUUUCCUUUGGCCUUGUUCUUACCUGCAAGACAAGGAGAAAGAGAGCAAUCAGUCAGCACUUGGAAUCAAGCUUCCAACCAGGAAUUGAUUGCCUAGAACCCCUUACCUGAGUACUUACCUGGCAUUGCUCUCGAGUACUCAUCUUCAACAUCUUAUGCUUCCAGGGAAGAUACCGCAUCUGCCUAAGGAACAGAUAGGUCAAGUGAGAAGGAUACAAAGAAGCAUGUGGAGACAAGCGUAACAGCACACGUGCCGAUACAUCCACUACUCUGUCAAAAGCAAAAGUAUCCCAUAUCAGCAGGGUCGAACGUACUCUAGAUUUGAUGGACUUGUUUUGACCCUCAAAUUCUUCAGUCGGCCUUAUACUCUGGAGGAAACCAGAAAACCCUCAAGCCCAGUUCAAGAAUAAGCCUGUGGAAAGUUACUUCUUCAAAAGCAAAAGUAUCCCAUAUCAUCUCUUCUCAUUUUUCUUCUCUUUAUCCUUCCUGCUGCCUGCAAGAUAGGGAGAAUGUGAACAAUCAGCCGGAGCUCUGAUUUCUUACCUUGUCUGUCACAUCUUUUAGCAGAUCCCCUAGCCCGGCGACUUGGGGGACUCCUACUACAUGGUUUGUAUCGUGCUUGACCAAGCCUGAAACUACAAGUAAGCUUCAAGUGAAAUUGAUACAUUACCUUGUGCAUCUCCACCAGUUAAAGAUACCACCCCUGGAUGGAGGAAGAGUACUUCCAGAGAAGAUGUCACAUCUACCUAUGAGACAGAUAAGGCAAGUCAAGACGAUACCACACUCCGGUACUUAGAAGUUUUGUGAUUACGAGAUCAUUUUCCCACAAUAUUUCCUAAUGUCAUUUGUACUAAAUCAUUCACUUGUACUCACUAAAGGAGAGCUUGAACCUAUGUACUUGUGUAAACCCUUCACAAUUAAUGAGAACUCCUCUAUUCCGUGGACGUAGCCAAUCUGGGUGAACCACGUACAUCUUGUGUUUGCUUUCCUAUCUCUAUCCAUUUAUAUACUUAUCCACACUAAUGACCGGAGCAAUCUAGCGAAGAUCACAAAAAGCGACCGUUUUCGCUACCUAGGAUCUAUCUUGCAAGAGAAUGGAGAAUUAGAUGGAGAUCUCAACCAUAGAUUACAAGCUGGAUGGAUGAAGUGUAAGAGUGCAUCCGGCAUGUUGUGUGACCGUCGUAGGCCACUGAAGCUCAAGGGAAAAUUUUAUAGGACGACAAUAAGGGCAGCGAUGUUGUAUGGCACCGAAUGUUGGGCGGUGAAGCAUCAACACAUACACAAAAUGGGUGUAGCGGAGAUGAGGAUGCUUCGUGGGAUGUGUGGGCACACGAGAAAGGAUAAGAUUGGGAAUGAGGAUAUCCGAGGUAAAGUAGGAGUAGUCGAAAUUGAAGGAAAUAUGAGAGAAAAUCGGUUCCGGUGGUUUGGACAUGUGCAAAGAAGGCCUACUGACGCUCCGGUUCGAAAAUGUGACUACGGGACAGAGGUUCAGGGCCGAAGGGGUAGAGGAAGACCUAGGAAAACUUUGGAAGAGACCCUAAGAAAAGACUUGAGUACUUGGAUCUAACGGAGGACAUGACACAAAACCGAGCGCAAUGACGUUCUAGGAUUCAUAUAGCCGACCCCACUUAGUGGGAAAAGGCUUUGUUGUUGUUGUUGUUGUUGUUGUUGUGUUUAGUUUGCGGAUCUAUUUUCUAUAAAAAAAAUUGGUGAUAAUUGAUUUUGAGGUUGUGUUGUAUAUGGAUUUUUAGUGUGGGUAUAUGAUUUGGUUUUUUUAUUUUGAGGAAGCAGUGGCCAUCGUUUUUUACCGCUUAUAUAUAUAUUAUUCCAGAAGCUUGAGGUAUAAAAUCUUGAAAUUGCUCACCUUAAAUAGACAGCGGCGUGCAUAUGUAGUUUAUCAUCGAAUAAUCAACCUCUCAUCACUAAAUUAACGUUUAAGUUUGUUUUUAAUUUAGUUCACAAAUGAAUCAACCAAGUUUUCAUGCCAUAUUGAUACGAAAUUAUAAAGAAAUGUCGAUCAUAUUUUGUUUGUUUGUUUUCCUUCUUUUGAGAUCUAUUAUUCAUAUAUAUCAUAGAUGAUGAAGAAUAAAAGAAAUUAAAUGCCGCUUUGGAUGAUAAGUUGAUGUUGAUGACAAGUACUAUUGAUGAUACCCACUAUUUCUCAUCUGUUCUAAUGCUGCAGGUAUGUAUAUUAUGUAACAAGUUCUCUAUCAGUUUGUUAAUAUCCAUAACCAAUACAGGUUUUCAAACACUUACACAGGUUUGUAUUUCAGUGAAAAAAUUGUAGGAAAAACAAAAGGAGGUUGAGCCUAUCUACAUAGUGAGUCGAAAGAAAAAUUAAACUCAACAACUAGAGAAUGAGAAUGGUUUGAUGAAAAAUAGGAAAUGAACACAUAUAAGGUAAUGUCACAAGGUGAGAUUUCAGUAUGAAUUUUUCAUUGUCAUACUAAUUAAUGCUUUUAAACCAAUCGGUAUAGAUUCUAUUUUUAGUUUCUUUUGCUUGAUCAAUUUACAUUCCUUUUUUAACCAAAUGCAAGUUCCAAUAUUGCAUUGAUGACAAAUAAAUUAAUUGAGAUUGAAGCUUUCUCUGAUUGAGAAAUCUCUUUUUGUUUAAAUAGUGUUACAAUUUUGUCUUUAUUUUUUUUCCCAAGAGGUGGACUUAAAAAGGAUAAAGUAUGCAAGGGAAUGGUAGGAUCAACAUAUCAAAGGUAGACAUCGAUUUUUUCUCUCAUGUUAAACUUAUAUUGUGAUGUUUAUUAUUAUUAAAUUUUGAAAAAAAAAAAUUGCUUAUCAUAACCUUAUCACAAUACUAAAUAACAGGGAGAGAGAUGAAAAAUAGAGGUAACUAUUUGAUUGUAUGCUUACUUUGGAGAUUUUGUGUAAGAUCCCACAUACUUAUAUGUAUAUUCCCAUCUCUACCUAGCACGAGGCUUUUUGGGAGCUCACUGGCUUCGGGUUCCAUCGGAACUCCGAAGUUAAGCGAGAAGGGGGCUAGAGCACUCCCAUGAUGGGUGACCCACUGGGAAGUUGUUCGUGAGUUCCCAGAAACAAAACCGUGAGGGCCUGGUUCCCGGCCAGGGCCCCACCACAACCUGGGCCCGCUCUACCACCGUAGCACGAUAUUGUCCGUUUUGGGCCCCAACCAUGCCUUCACGGUUUUGUUUCUGGAAACUCACGAUCAACUUCCCAAUGGAUCACCCAUCAUGGGAGUGCUCUAGCCCCUUUCUCGCUUAACUUCAGAGUUCCUAUGGAAUCUGAAGCCAGUGAGCUCCUAAAAGGCCUUAUGCUAGAUAGGAAUGAGAAUAUACAUUUAAGGAUCACUCACCUGGGCGAUGUGGGAUGUCACAAUCCACCCCCUUUAGGGACCCGAUGUCCUCGUCGGCACACUUCCGGCCAGGGAUAGGCUCUGCUACCAAUUGUCACAUCCCGGCUCGGGCCCCCACCACAACCUGGGCCCGCUCCACCAUCGUAGCACGAUAUUGUCCGCUUUGGGCCCCAACCACACCUUCACGGUUUUGUUUCUGGGAACUCACGAGCAACUUCCCAGUGGGUCACCCAUCAUGUGAGUGCUCUAGCCCCCUUCUCGCUUAACUUCGAAGUUUCUACAGAACCCGAAGCCAGUGAGCUCCCAAAAGGCCUCGUGCUAGGUAGGGAUGAGAAUAUACAUUUAAGGAUCACUCAUCUGGACGAUGUGGGAUGUCACACAAUUGACUAAGAAUUUGUUAAAUCAUUUUAACAUGUAUUAUAAUAAGAUAUUUACUUUUUAUGAUACAUUUCUAAUUUUUGCAAAUUACUUGAUUUACUAUUGUUAUAUGGUUUACAGAUUUUUAUGUUAAGUGUGUCACUAUAUUGUUGUAAUAGUUAAAUUGGAUGUAAUAUGAAGUGUUGAGAUAAAACUAGGCACAACUAAUUAUCUUUCACUUCUUGAGAUACAGUCAUUGUUUGAUUUAGCCUAUAACUGAUAAAUCUUUAAUUAUAAUUGGUUUUUUUAGUUUACCUGGAUCAGAACUGAUAACCGUAUAAAAGGGCAGUAAAAAUUAAAGUCUGCCUGUUCUGAUGACAACUGAUAAAUAUACAGUUCUGCACUGUAUACUGGUUGAUGAAAAGGUGAGCAAUCAUUACUUAAUGAUCUUAAGUAAUAACUACUUAGUAUUGCUCAUUGAAAAUUUAUUAAUUGUUUCAAUGCAUAUGAUCUAACAUUUCUGCUUUCUGUAAUAAACACUAUUUAUGAUCUUUAUUUUUUUGGUCAAAAACACUAUUUGGGAUCUGUUUGUCAUCUUUAGACAUUGCUUGAUUUUGUAUUGUCAAAUGAUAUAUAUUUUCAUAAUCACUGUGUCUGUAUAGUAUAUGGAUUAUAUAUAUAUAUAUAUAUAUAUAUAUAUAUAUAUAUAUAUAAUAUUAAGUGUUCUAUUCUUUGUAUUAGAUCUUUUUAUACUUAAACAACUUUUUUUAAGUGUUAAUUAAAAUGAUUAAUUGAUAGUUACUGUUUGCCUAUGCAUAUUCUUGCGUAGUAUUUACUAUGCACAUGCAUAUUCAUGUUAUACUAUAUGUAAUGGUCACUGUUAUUCACUUAUUCACUUGAUAUUUAACAAUAUUUUUUUCUUGCAUUUUUUCCCAUGCUGAAUUGUCAAGCGACAAUCAAUAUAAACUUAUAUGAAUUUUGUUUCUUCAUUGUUAAUUUACUGAUGCUAGGGAUAAUUUAAGCUUCUACAUUCUUAACAUUUUUCAUAUUUGACUUGCAGGAUUAGUGUCAAUGUACACAUUUUUGCAACUAUUUGUUCUGUCUUUCUCCCUCACUCUGUAUAAUUUUAGUCAAAUUGAACUACUCUUUAAAACUUGAGAUUUAACUAAAGUACUUAGAACUUAGUUAAAUGAAAGUUUACUUCGGUUUGAUGACAUUUACAUGAUUAUUAGGUUCACAAUCAUUGGAUGCAUUAUCUUUUAUAUGUUUUAAUCAUAAUGUCAUAAAAUUUUCGAUCCCGCAACAACGCGCAGGUCACACUUCCCGCAGCAACGCACGGGUUAUGCUUUCCAGUAGUAACUAAAGUCUGCUUAGUAGGCCUCCAAGAAAUUGUGGUUUCACCAACAAUACCCGUUUAGGAUAUUGCCAUGCGGGGAUCAAAUAAGUACCCAGCAUCAACAUAACCAACAAAGGAAACUCGAGAACUGGGUGGAGGGGGUGAGGAAGGGACGGUUGCACUCGAAUUUGAGUAGGGAUAUGACAAGUCCAAGUCUCACAGUACCAUUAAGAUAACAUAGAAUUUAUGUAACACCUUUCAAUGUCUGCGUGUUGGCACAUGAUUGAGAUUUAUAAUGCAGGAGAUGUUAGGUCUUCUACACUGAGAUAAGUACAGCAAAGUACCAAUUGCAAUUAAGUAUGGAACCUCGGGUUCUUAAACCUCUUCAUCAUCUAUCUUUGGAUGGUAUAGGUCUCGUUGUGCAUCAAGCGUACGGAUGACCAUGAGUGUACUCAAAGGUAAUGCUUUAUCAUUAAAGCAAUGUAACACCAUCUUGGUGUAGUUUGACUAAUGGACAAGAAUGUUGGAUUGUGAACUAUCUUAGUACAUAUUUGUAGAAGUGUGGCGGGUGGCGUAAGCAUACAUAAUCAUUUAACAUGCAUGUUAGCGGAAUGUUGGAUUCCGUUUAAUUUAUGUAUUGGUUAUGUUCAGGUAUAAUAAAAUUAAGAACACAUGUAUAAACUUCUGAGUUUUAGAAUUCUAACCUUUAGAUUUCAUAGGCGGAUGCAUUCAAUAUUGUUAAGGCUCCAAAGUGUUACCCCUCUACCAGUAUCUACACGAAUAUAUCUCCAACUAGUGAAGCAAGAAGACGACAAUCUGCUAGAACUUUAUCCAUUAGGUAGGUGUUGCAACAAGGGGAUUUGGUAUGGUGUUUUGUUUUUCAAUUCUUUAAAUUGGAAAACCUAAUUCUUUUCUCUCUAAUUUCUAUUUCCGCUUUGUGAAUUCUCACACUAUGUUACAUAGAGCCCUUAGGCUUAAAAAGAGAACAAUUUCUAAUUAAGCCAAUAGGAUUACAGAUUAAUUCUCUACCACAAAUGUGUGUCGCACGCCUUGGGAAAAAUUUUGAGAAACUUUGGGGUUCACUAGUCUGUAUCACGUCACUCGCUCGUCUCAAGAAGAGAUUCUUUCACGUCACCAAUUUACCACACUACAAUUUUGAAUUUAUUAGAUGAAUAAUACAAUUUGUUUAAUAAAUGACCAACUUUACAAAUAUUUUUGUGAAGUGAUUUCACACAUUUUUUUAGCUUUUUUACAGACCCAUGUUUAAUUUUGGAUGUUGAUUCCGUUUGAUUUAUUCAUUCUGGUGGCCAUAAAUAAAGAGAGGUAUGUGAGAAACUAAAAAUGGUGCGUGAAAAUCCAUGACACUACUGAGCAUGAAUUUUAGUUAGAUGAAAAAAGACCUUACGCCUGACACAAGUGGGAGGACGUGACAUGAGUGCCUUUAUUCAAGGAUGAGGAAUGCUAAGGUGACUCUCAAAAGUAGGAAUCUCUGUCACCUCAUAGCUAGUUUAACGUCAAUUCAUUCAUGUGCCAGCAUUAUAAGACUAAUGUUAGGAAGACUACAUUUGUAGACAAAAUUUAUAAACUAAAUGACAUGGAAGCAGAUGAGUAGAUUAUUACUUAAGCGUUGAUAAAUGUGCUCAUUUCAUAUUGGUGACACGCCAUUUAGUUUGAAUUUUUUUUUCCACAAAUUUAGUCUAUCUAGCAUUACCCGCAUUAUAAGGUAUUGUGGUAAACAUAUGAGGUGACGGAGAGUUCAUAGAGAGUCUCAUUAGUAUUUCUCUUCAAGAAUUUAACCUCAUUCUCCCCACUUAAUAAUUUCACCAAAAAUGUUUUCUAAAUGCUCGCUUAUCAGGAUUAAGCCUCUGUUUGGUAUUGUUUUUUUUUCAUCAAAAGUUGCUUCACUUUAAAGUUAAGCAAUAAAAAUGUGUUUGGUAAAAAUAAAUUAUUUUGCUUAUAUUAAAAGUAAUGCAUGGCCUCCAGACAACAGCUUUUAAAAGCAGCAUGCAGGUAAAACUGCUUUAAUAAAAAGCUGAGUUGAGCCUUUAAUGAAUAUUUUUACUUCUUGUAAUACGCUCAAUAAUUUUUUCUUUUAAAAAAUAACAUUAUUUAUUCUUGUAGGCACAUUUUAUCAUUGGAGAACAAAGUGACCACCACUAUAAACCCUAACCUCUUACAUUACCAUUGCCAUGAUCACCACCAUUGUUGCCAUGACCACCACACUACAAUUGCACCACGACCACCACUAUAAACCCUAACCUCUUACACUACCAUUGCCAUGAUCACCACCACUGUUACCACCACCACACUUCAAUUGCGCCACGACCACCACAACCAUACGCACCACCACUACCAUUGCUAUUGUUACCACCAUGCCACUACCGCCACCACCACCACCAUAAAUACAACAACCGCUACCACUACUACCACAACCACCACCAUCGUUGUUAUCACCACCCCUACCACCAAUGUUGCCUCUGUAGCCCAACCACCACACCUCUUUAUUGGCACCAUGACCACGACCACGACCAUCACCACAACCCUACCAUCACAACCCCUUGCCCUUAUCAUUAUUGUCAUCGUCACCACCAACAUUGUUACGUUUAUUUUUGUCAUUAUAUACAAUUAUAAAAUAUCAAACGCUUUUACACUAUUUUUCAUAUUCACAACACUUUUAAAAAUACAGUUCAUCAAGCACUCAACUGCUUUAUUUUGUAGCAAAUUAUUCUUAAAGCACAUCAGAAGCAGUUUUUUAAAAAGCACAUCAAUCUCAAAAUGGCCGUAAUAUUAUGAGUUUUUUUAAUUGAGGUAAAUAUAUUAUGUAUUUGACCAAAACGAUUUUAAAUAAUUUGUAAUAAGAUGACGCGAAAAAAGAGCAGAAAUGCAACACAUGAAAUAAAACCAAAGCAAAGAGAUUUGAGGUUGAUUUUCAUUCCUUACAACAUUUUUAAAACAUUUCAAUUUCAUACCUUUACUUAUCAUUUUAUUUCAAUUUCAUACAUCCGUUAGAAAAUAUGUUAAGUAAACCGUUAAGUGAUGACGUGGCAAAUAUAAGGUCCCCAUUUGUGUUGAUGUGGCUGCCACAUUUGUGCCAUGUAGCUAAAAACUGAAUAAUUUUUUUUUAAAAAUAAUUAUUUAAAAAAAGUUAUAAAAAAAAAACACAGAUCCCCCUUCUUCCCCCGAAUCCCCACCCAUGCCCACCCUCCCAACCCCCAGCACCCACCCGGGCCACCCCUUCCUCCAUCCCACAUCACCAACAACCACUUACCUCCCCACUGCGCCUCCAUCUCCGACGAGAGCCUUCCUGCCGAGCUCUUCCCCCAGUACACCGGUAAAACUCGUCGGCAAAGUAGCUCCGUGUCGGAGCUUGUCGAAUCGACGUUUGUGGUUCAUUUUUCUCCAAACUGACGUCAUAGAUGAGUUCAAAGGGAAAGAGACUUUAAUGGCAAAGGGAAAGAAACUUUAAUGGCGGUGUUGGUGGUCUGAAAUUCGUCAGAGAUGGUGGUGGUCUUUAUCGACCCGAUCGAUCGAGGUUUUCUUCGAGUGAGGGAGAAUGUCGAGAGAGAAUGAGAUAGUUGGGGAAGAUAGUGGUGCGAGAGAAAUAGUGUUCGGGGUGAGAGAAAGGGUGGGGGAUGGGGAAAAGGGUGGGGGAUGGGGAAAGGGGUGGGUGAUGAAGGGUGGGGAUUCCGGGGAAGAAGGGGAUAUGUUUUUUUUCUUUUCGUUUUUUGUUUUUAACCUUUCUUUAUAUAACUAUUUUAAUAUUUUAAAUAUUUUAUUAAGUUUUUUUUACAUGUGGUACAAAUGUGGCAGCCAUGUCAGCACAAAUGGGGACACCAUAUUUGCCACGUCAUCACUUAAUGGUUUACUUAACAGAUUUUCUAACGGAGGUAUGAAAUUAAAAUAAAAUGAUAAAUAAAUGUAUGAAAUUGAAAUGUUUUAAAGAUUUUGUAAAGAAUUGAAAUCGACCUUAAACUUGAAAAGGUAAAAUGUAAUUUACCCUAUAUUUUUUGUUGGUUUAUCAUUUUCACCAAGCUUCACCUCAUCAAUACUUAAAGAAAUGUAUUAUGUUCUGAUCUAGAAACCAAGCUCCGCCUCAUCAAUACUUGAAUAAUUUGAUGCAUCAUGCAUUACUUUUGUUUCCUUUUGAAGGCCCAAACAAGAAACAAAGCAACACAAGACAAAGACAAUUACCGUUUAAUGGGUGUUUUAGAAACUCAAAAGCUUCAAUUUGUUUUGAGAAUCCAUUUGUUUGGAAUAAUGCUUGGGAGACUAAAAUUUUUAAAUUAAAUGAUGUGUCACCAAUUUUAACUUCCUCUUUUACUGUUAUACAAGCGAAAACGAGAGAGAUUUAAUAUGAGUAAAGGGAUACUUUACUUCUUGAGAUACAAGUUUAUUGUUAUAAUUUAGCAAGGUUUCUUCUAAGGAUCUUGGCUUUCUUUAUCUGUAAAAAAGUUGGGGUUUUGGUUGUUUAAUUAUUUUCUACCAGAAUUGCAAGAUAAAAAGGGAUACAAAGGAGAAGUGACAUAUGUAUAUGUAUAUAUAUAUAUAUAUAUAUAUAUAUGUUUUUUUGUCUCUUAUCAAUUAGGGUUUCUACAAUUCUUGUCGGAUUCUUUACCUAAGUUUUUAUUUGUCAGAUUAGUCACGAAAGUUCACUGUCAAAUUAAAUGAAAGGUAAUGAAAGUAGAAAACAGAAAACAAAUUAUCGGAGUUGACUGCUGGUAUGAUGAAUUAGUUGAAUAUCAUAGUGCACAAUGAACAAGACUACACAAUAAUAAAAAUAUUAUUAAAUAAACAAGAACACUGAAACGACUACAUAACACUAAGAAGCUACAUUGUGACUAACUUAUUCACGAUUGAAUAAAAAACAUGCUAUUUAUAAUAAACUAGUCCUAACUCUAAAAGGUAAUAAACCAAAACCUUAAUGCUAAUGGGCUAAACCCAGAAAACCAAAUAUUAAAGUAAACUUAAAUAUUAAUGUUUUCCAACACCUUCCGUCAAACUAAUGGCGGUAUACGACAUGAGUUUGCAAACAAGCAGUUGCGGACUGGCUCUGUUAGGCGGGCAUACAGGCAGGCUCCUCAACACGAACAGACAGGCAAGCUCUGCAACGCGGACAAACAAGCUCCGCAACCCCGCGGACAGAAAAAAGCAACAAUCCCAAAAGUGAUUCCAAAAAUCAAACCGAUAAUAUAGAUUGCAAGCUUUGUCUUGAAGCCAACAUUUCCAAAUUGAUGGUUCCAAAGUGUUGACAAAAGCACUGGUGCUAGUGUCACUGAAGCAACUGCAUAUGGCUUACACCAUCUUUCUUCACAAACAACAGGAAUAGUCAAUCUCCUAGGCAGAUAAAGCGGAGCUCAAGUAUGAAAAUCAGCGUGCGAAAAAAAGCCGAUGAUCUAAGAUUGGAGCAGCAUUUCUUGACUUCUACUACUUCAGAACUGCCUUGUGCAGCUCCUUCCUCUGCAGCACUGAGAUCUUCCUCUUCAAUGCUGAUAAGAAUUGGCACAGUCAAGUCACUCUCAUUGCUCGAAUUACGGCUCAAUUCAACGCUUUUCUUCCAAUGUGUGUGUGAGACGUAAACCACAAUCACAUAAGCAAUAUAGAGUGAAGAGAGAGCCAUUGCAGCCCACACAUCUAUUUCCUUGUGAAUCAAGAUAACACCCAAACAUACAAUGACCAAAAGGUAGAAGCAAAUAUCUCUCACAAAGUCCGCUUUGUGAACUCGAAUGCGCCUUUUGCUCAUUGAAAUGCUUAAGAUUCCAACCACAGCACAAGACACAAAGGAAGCACCCCCCAGAACUGUAUUAAGACCAAUUUCGCCAGUCCCGCCACCCAUAAACGAAACAAGACUGGAAAACACAUCAGGGGCUCCAUUGCCAAGAGAAAGCAGAGUUACCCCAGCAAUUGUGGGGGACAAUUUUAACAACCUAGAUAAACUAUCAAGUGAAGAACAUAAGUACUCAGAAGCUGUGUUCCCCAACACAUAGAACAAAACCAGAAGCCAAAGAAACAUACAGCAAUAACCCAAUUGAGGAAAAGUUCCAAAAUUGCAGUAGAAAAUGUUUAGAUAGUUUAUAUAGCCUUGGGAGACACAUGGGUUGUUGGAUUUAAGGUAAAAGCACUUUGCUUUGUAGUCAUCUAAACUAAGAAAACCCUUGCAAUCUAGUGAACCAGAAAUUCUGGAAACCCCAGAAGUGCUUAGAACCAGAAAAUCUGGAGCAUAGGAAUGUACAACCAAGAAAGCGCAUCCCACUAUCAGAAACGAGAUGUUCAGGAAAAUUAUGUAGUUUUUGUACUUUGGUAAGAAAACUAAGGUACCCAUUAGAGAAAUUCAAUCUAAUCUAAUUUUUUUUAAAGUAGAGAAAUUGAUUGAAAUUGAAUUUACCUUUAUGAUUGUGCUCCAGAGCAAUUGGAGAAGAUAAUGAAAAUCCAAAAAUGUAGGGUAGAAAUUGAGGAAAAUUACAAAAAUAUAAAGGGGUAGAAAUUGAAAUGGAUGGAGGGUUUUUUUAAUUUGGUAAAGCUGGAUGAUUAAGAGCACCUCCAGCGGGGGAGGUUGCUCGGGGGCUGUGGAUCAAACAGUAGCAAAUUGAUGGGGGGAUGAGCUCCAGCGUAUGGAAGCCCGAGCAACAGGCGAGGCCCGAGGAGCAGGCCCGUCGAGGAUUGCCAGCCCGAGAGCCCGAGGGCUGCGUCAGGCGCGUGCGUUUCACGCGCGCGUGGGCGCGAGUCGUCGGACAAAAAAACAGGGCUGGGGCCCGCGAUUUCAGUUUUGAAAAGUAACCGUUGGGGAAGCCACGUGGCUUCCCCAUGUCUGUUCGAUUGAAACGGUCAUAUUUUAUGGACCGUUGGAUUUCCAACGGUAAAAAACAUUUAAAAAUCUCAUUUAAUUUCAUCCGUUUGAUCUAAGAUCAACGGUUCACGUUAUUAGGCUUUGUAAAUUAUAUAAAAAAAAAGAAAAACUGUUUAAAAAUCUAAAAUGUUACCGUUGUGACACGUGGCACAAUCUGGAGUGUUGGAAUUUAAAUUUUUUUAAAUCCAACGGCAAAGAUUAAUUAGGUGAAUAAAAAUUAAAAAAAAAUGUAAAAAAAUUCUUAAAAAUCCGAAAAAAAUUAUGAAAAAUUAUAAAAAAUUUUGAUUUCACUUCACCUAUAAAUACCUUCUCAUUAUCUUCUACCCUACACCACAAUUUCAUAUUUUCUCAACUACUUUCAACCACAUUCCUAUCUUUCUUUCAAAGUUUCAAUCCAAUUUUUUUCCAACAAAAUGACUACUCAACCAGGUACGAAUUGGACGCUUCUUGAAGAUGUUGCGUUGUGUACUAGUUGGGUUCAAGUUACUCAUGAUUCGAUUACGGGUAAUGAGAUGCAGUUGCGAGAAAUGUGGAGUCUUAUUCAUACCAAUUAUCUUGAGAAAAUGGGUGGGCAAAGAACUAAAGAAUCGAUGUCCAGUCGUUGGAAAUUACUUAGUCAAUCGUUUAGUACGUUGAGAGACGCCUUGGCACAAGCUAGUGGUAAUCUUCGAAGUGGGGAAAAUUUAACGGAUCAGGUAACAAUAUAUUAUUUAUUUGUUAGCUACUUUCAUUAUAUUUAUUUGUUUGUAUUAUUUAUUUGUUAUCUUCUUUCAUUAUAAUUAUUUGUUAGCUACUUUCAUUAUAUUUAUUUGUUUGUAUUAUUUGUUACCUACUUUCAUUAUAAUUAUUUGUUAGCUACUUUCAUUAUAAUUAUUUUGUAUUAUUUAUUGUUACCUACUUUCAUUAUAAUUAUUUGUUAGCUACUUUCAUUAUAUUUAUUUUUGUAUUUUUUACCUACUUUCAUUAUAAUUAUUUGUUAGCUACUUUCAUUAUAAUUAUUUGUUAGCUACUUUCAUUAUAAUUAUUUUUGUAUAUUAUUUGUUACCUACUUUCAUUAUAAUUAUUUGUUAGCUACUUUCAUUUAUAAUUAUUUGUUUGUAUUAUUAUUAUUUGUUACAUACUUUCAUUAUAAUUAUUUAUUUGUUACCUAUUCUCAUUAUAAUUAUUUGUUUGUGUAGGAACUUCAAGCACAAGCUUGGUAUGGUGCCAAAACCAAAAGCAAAAAACAAAACAUUCACCCGGUUUGAAUGUUGGAAUAUUGUCAAAGAUUGUCCUAAAUUUAGAGUUGUGCAUGUCGGUCCAGAAGUUUUCAUGAAACAGCACCCCUCUACACUCUACACCUGAGCAUGCCUCGCAUGAUCAUGAUAAAGAUGAUGAAGAAGUGCCUGAAACGCCCCCCGUUGAACAAGCGUCGGGGUCGACCCGUUAUCCAAUUAGGCCUCAAGGUAAGAAGGCUUCAAAGAGAAAAGGUAAUGCUUCCAAGAAUGAUUAUGCAAAGUAUAUGGAAGAUCUUGCCCGCCAAGGUGAAUUGAAUUUGGCCCGGGAAAUGGCUAAAUUUGAGGCUGAUAAGGCUAGAGAGGAUGCAAAAGCUGCAGCUUUUGAGAGAGAAAAUUUGAAGCUGAUGAGAGAGAAAGAGAACUACUUCGGCAAGAAAGGGAACAUAGAAGAGAAGAAAGAAUGGCUGAACGAGAUCGUGACAUUAUGAAGGAGCCUUUAGAAGGGAAGUCUCCAGACUCUAAAAUAUUUUUGGAAGUCAGAGAAAGCGGAUGUGGUGCGAAGGAUGCGUGCAAGAGAAGCGAGAGCAAGAGGAGAUGGUCCUAGCACCACAAGAGAAGAUUAUCCUAGCAUGACAAGAGAAGAUCAUCCUAGCACCACAAAUUGGUUAGGUGAUGGUUAUCAUCCAUUCACAAACCCAUAAUUUUCCAAUCAAUUCGGGUUGUAAUUUCUUAUUCGGGUUGUAAUUUCUUAUUCAUUGAAUAGAGUACUUUAUGUUGUUUCCAAUUUAUUGAACUUAGUACUUUAUUCAAAACACAUUUAAACACACCAAAUAAAAUAACAUCAACACACCAAAAAAACACACCAAAUAAAAACAAACACCAAAUAAAAUAAAAUUACAUUUCAACUCACUAAAUGAACUAAAAAACACACCACAUAAAAUAAAAAUAAAUACACCAAAUAAAAACAAACACCAAAUAAAAUAAAAUUACAUUUCAACUCACUAAAUGAACUAAAAAAACACACCACAUAAAAUAAAAUAAACACACCAAAAUAAAAACAAACACUAAUGAACUUAAGUAUCGUCAGCACCCCUCAAUUCCCACUGGUGCUCUAUCAAGUCAAGUUGGCGGGCAUUGUGCAUAUUUGACCUUUGAAGUGCAGUAUAUCGUUGGAUGAUCCUUUCAUUGUAACGUCCAUCCCUUUCUAAUGGCUCAUGUUGCACGGGCUCAUCGGUGGCGUCAUGAGCACAAUAUAUACGUGUUCUUGAAUUGUUCAUCGUGUCUGGCUCAUAUUCAUCAACGGCUUCAUAAUCGUACUCAUCUUCCACAAUCAUGUUGUGAAGAAUGAUGCACGUCAUCAUGAUGGAUCGAAGCGACUCUACAUCAAACAAUCUGGCAGCACCUCUGAUGAUCGCCCAGCGAGCUUGGAGGAUACCGAAACAACGCUCCACAUCCUUCCUGCACCCUUCUUGACAUCUUGCAAAGUGUUUUUCCUUUGCACUGCGCGGACGUGGCACUGUUUUGACAAAUGUUGACCACCUUGGGUAAAUGCCAUCAGCUAGGUAGUAUGGCCCGUCGUACAUACGUCCAUUGACCUCAUACGUGACUUUUGGUGCGUUUCCUUGCAGGACAUCGUUGAACACUGGGGAUUGGGCAAGGACGUUGAGGUCAUUUUGAGCUCCCGGAACCCCGAAAAAGGCGUGCCAAAUCCAUGUAUCAAAAGAUGCCACCGCCUCCAAAAUGAUACUUUUUGAUCCUUUUCUGUCCCCAUAAGCGCCUUGCCAUGCACUUGGACAGUUUUUCCAAGUCCAAUGCAUACAAUCAAUGCUUCCAAUCAUCCCUGGAAAACCUCGCAUCUCGCCUUUCUUCAGAAGCCUUUGCAAGUCCAUAUGAGUAGGUAUCCGGAGGUACUCUGCGGUGUAGAUAGAUUCGAUUGCCGAACAAAACCUCAUGAGGGACUCAAGAAUGGUUGAUUGUCCCAUCCUCGUUAUCUCGUCCACUUGGUCUGCAGCUGCUCCAUAUGCAAGCAUCCGCAAGGCAGCAGUAAUUUUUUGCUGAGGCAGGAGACCCAUAGCACCAAAAGCAUCCGGCUUUUGCACAAAGUAAGAAUCAUGGUUGCAAACAGCGCCCAUGAUUUUGUUGAACAAAUGUCGUUCCAUUCUAAAACGACGUCGGAAGUAUGUAUCAGGGAAUGCACUGUUACGGACAAAAAUAAUCGUCCAAGAGCUCCUGACCUCGUCGUUGCCUGUUUCUAUCAAUGUUUACAGCACGGUUGGGCCUGCAGAGAUAUGAGCCACAGCUUGGACGACUCGACGGGAUUGUGAGGCUCCUGCCAUUCUUGAUUCGUCAUCUCGCCGUCUACGCUCGUCAUCCUCUUCCAUCUCAUUUUGGCCCCAAUCCCCAACAUUGAACAUUCCUUGUGAUUGGUUAAACAAUUCUUCCUCUUCUUGCUCGAUUUCCCACAUCAUCUUUGAAGAAGAAGAAGAAGACAUUGUAAGAAGGAAGCAGAAACUAUGAAUAAUGAUAGGGAUUUUGGUGAAGAAGGAAGCAAAAACUAUGAAAUAAUGAUAGGGAUUUUGGCGAAGAAGGAAGCAGAAACUAUGAAUAAUGAUAGAGAUCUUGAGAAAAUUGGUGUGAGAUUUAUGAGGAUGGAUGGGGGAUUAUAUGGAGGAUUCAGAAGGGAUUAGGUUGUAGAUAAUGCCACGUGGCAUGCCGUCAUUCGUUAAAAAUCUGGUGGAAAUCUAUCCUCAAAGAUUGUAAUCGGAUUGUGACACGUGGCACGACGUGAUUGGUUAAAAAUCUUAUCAGAAAUCCAUCACCAAUAAUUGUCUUUUCAGAUAAUGACACGUGCCUUGACACAACGAUUAAAAAUCUUAUCGGAAAUCCAUCACCAAUAAUUUUCUUUGCGGAUAAUGACACGUGGCGCAACGAGAACGAUUAAAAAUCUUAUCCGAAAUAACAAAUAUAAUUAUUUUGAAUUAUUUUAUAAAUACAAAAAUUUUAUUGCUAUUGGCUUUUCGGAUAAUGACACGUGGCGCAACGAGAACGAUUAAAAAUCUUAUCCGAAAUUACAAAUAAAAUUAUUAUGUAUUAUUUUAUAAAUAAAAAAAUACUAAUAUUUUAUUGCCAAUUGCCAGGGCUAUUCAGUGCAGGGGUGGAGAUGCAAAAGGCAAUUGCCAGGGGAAUGCACUAUUUAUUAAGAGCAGUUACUGUUCACUAGGUGGAUUAAAUAGUGAAUUGCCUGGGGGGAGGACUCCUACACUGGAGUUGCUCUAAGGUUGCUGCUUUUCUUGGGGAGAGAAGUGGAAGAGACAGAGCAUUUAAAGCUUUCCUUCUGAGUUUCCACAUUGUAGGAAUACUGUCACUUCAUGCAAUGUAAGGCCAUAGAUCAUGAUGCUGACAAGUUGAGGACACGUGUCGAAAGAUGGUGCCGUUGGGGCCCACAACCGUCCAAGGGAAAAUUUCUCGAGUAAUAUCAGUUACCACGGUAUUCAAGCGGAAACAACUACACGUGUGGGAAUUUGGUGGACGUCGGCUAUCAGGGUGAGUUUAGCAUCUGAGCUGUGAAAGCAAAGAAAAAGACUUGCGUCACAAUCAAAGCUUCAAAAUCGGUCUGUCCCUCCUUGGGCAAUGCGCUUUACAUUUUUCUUACUUUCUUCAUUAUUUGUUUGUAGAUCACAUUCUUUGAGAAAUUUUUGGGUUCAUUAGUCUUUGUCAAGUCACUCGUUUAUCUUAAAAAGAAAUUUUCUUGCAUCACUAGUUUAUCAUGCUACAAUCAUAAAUUUAUUGAAUAGAUAACAACAAUAAAGUCUCAUUUCAAUAAGUGGAGUUAGCUAAAUUUAAAAUGUCACUGGACUCAGUUUUACGCCAAAUUUAUUAGACGGAUAAUACAAUUUUUCAAUCCACAUUCUCCCCCACUUGACCAUUUCAUCAACAAUGUUGUCUAAAUGCUUUUGUUUCAUUUUUCAAUUUGAUGCUAGGCCCAUGUUAGACUAAAAACAACUGCCGUACAAAAGUAAGAUAAAAGGGAUACAAAGGAGAACAUAUAUACAUACAUAUAUAUAUAUAUAUAUACACAACUGCCGUACAAAAGUAAGAUAAAAGGGAUACAAAGGAGAACAUAUAUACAUACAUAUAUAUAUAUAUAUAGAGGCCCCUUCUCAAGAGGGAUUCUAAUUUUUCAAAAAAAAUGGGAAUACCUUCUUCACCGUUAGAUUUGACUUGAAUGAAAUUCUGUGGUUGAGAUGAAAUCACAGGCCACAAAAUCUUAAUCACAAAAUUUUAUUAAAGCCAACUCUAACGGUUAAGAGGGGAUCCUCUUUUUUUUUUGAAAAAUGGGGAUCCCUCUUGGGAAGAGAUUCCUAUAUAUAUAUAUAUAUAUAUAUAUAUAUAUAUGCUAGCUUUCAUGCACGCGCUCUUUGAAUCACAACGUGCUACGCAUGACUUACACAUUUUAAAUGAAUAAUAUUAGACCAUGCUAAAAGAAAUUCUUCGUAAAUCAAUCAAAACAGCCGAAUCUACAUUAGGGGCUCCAUUGCCAAGAGAAAGCAGAGUUACCCCAGCAAAUGUGGUGGACAAUUUUAACAACCUAGAUAAACUAUCAAGUGAAGAACAUAAGUACUCAGAAGCUGUGUUCCCCAACACAUAGAACAAAACCAGAAGCCAAAGAAACAUACAGCAAUAACCCAAUUGAGAAAAAGUUCCAAAAUUGCAGUAGAAAAUGUUAAGGUGGUUUAUAUAGCCUUGGGAGACACAUGAGUUGUUGGAUUUAAGGUAAAAGCACUUUGCUUUGUAGUCAUCUAAACUAAGAAAACCCUUGCAAUCUAGUGAAUCAGAAAAUCUGGAAACCCCAGAAGUGCUUAGAAACAAAAAGUCUGAAGCAUGGGAAUGUACAACCAAGAAAGCGCAUCCCACUAACAGAAACGAGAUGUUCAAGAAAAUGACCUAAUUUUUGUACUUCGGUAAGAAAACUAAGGUACCCAUUAGAGAAAUUCAAUCCAAUUUAAAAUAUAAAAAAAGUACAGAAAUUGAUUUGAAAUUGAAUCUACCUUUAUGAUCGUGCUCCAGAGCAAUUGGAGAAGAUCAUGAAAAUCCAAAAAUUAGGGUAGAAAUUGAAAUGGAUGGAGGGUUUUGGAGUUCGGUAAAGCUUAAGGAUUAAGGUUGCUUGCCGCUUUUCUUAUUGAGAGAAGUGGAAGACACAGAGCUUCCCUUCUGUGUUUCCACAUUGUACGAAUAUUGUCACUUUAGCCAAUGUAAGGCCAUAGAUCAUGGAUGCUAACAAGAUUGAGGACACGUGUCAAAUGAUGGUGCAGUUGGGGGUCAUUACUGUCCAUGAAAAAAAAGUUCACACGGCAUUCAAGUGGAAAAAACUACACGUGGGAAUUGGAUGCAUUUUUGCUCAUCAUUAUGAACUAUGGUGUAUGCUCACCAUAUAUCUUAUCAUUUGACAUGUGUCCUUUCACUUAAUCAUAGUUAAUUUUUUUUCAAAAUUAGAAAAGGAACAUUUAAUAUUAAAGUUAAUCAUAGUUAGUUAAAAGGACACGUGUCAAAUGAUACACCAUAGUUUAUGGUGAGUAAAAAUGCUCCUCGUGGGAAUUUGGUGGACGUUGGCUGUCAGUGAGUUUGGUCGCACGAUUUACGAUAAAUGAAUAUAAUUAGAAAAUUCUUGAACUCUUCACAAAGAGGAUUCUCAUUCAUAUUUUUCUAUCUUUCUUCAAUAUUUGACCUUUUAUUUUUAUUUUUUAUAAGUUGUGGCAUAUAUUUGUCACAAAAGGUUUAAGCGAUAGCAAAAAUACAAAAAGCUGAGAAUAGAUUCCAGCACUAGGGCUGGGUUUGGUUGGCAAACCGUGCCAAUUUCUUGUGCCACUUGCCGGCCGUAUAUAUAUAAUUACCGAAAAUUAGUUACCGCUAGCCAACCGUCUUUUUGCAGUUGCUAAAAAUCAGUUCAACCGAAAUUAUUGGUUAGUUCGGUUGACAAAUGGCAACCAAUGGUUUGCAAAUAAGCUACAAAAACAACAAUUGAAGACCAUGCAUUGACCCGUAAACAACAAACCCAAAAAGAAAAAAAGAAGUUGCUGCAAUUUUUCAAUUGAUGAUAAGCCAACAUAUUCAUGACCUAACAAAUUAAAAUGAAAAUCAAAACAAAACUCAAGCCAACAACAAUGUCAGCAAACAUAAUCCAAAUAGUUAUAAGUUUCACAAACUCAAAAGUCUAACUAAUAUAAUUUUAUAAAUUCAAUUGUAGCAACUAAUGCAUAAACAAAAAACUUAAAACUCAAAAGUAUGGUUAUGGUUAUAAGAUCUCCUUAUUAUAAUCCCAAAACAAAUAACUUCUUGUUUUGAUAAUGCAUAUUCAUUGAAGUAGCAGCAAUCAAUGCAUGUGAAAUCUUUCAUGAAUCAAUUCUUUGAGGCACUUAGAAUUGAUGUUCCUGCUUGAAAUGUAGAACCAUUAACUAUUUCAGUUCAAAUGUUACAUAAAAAAAAUAUGAUUAGCUAGAAUAAGAAAUAAUAUUGAAUAAUAAAUUAAAAAUAUCAAUAAACAUUGGAUUGAAGUGCUAUAAUUAGAAUUAGAAAAAUAUAUCAAUACUUACAAUUUUCCAGUUCUUCACAUGUCAAGCAUGUAAAAAAUACCUAAAACAUCUAAAUAGAAUAUAUAUAUAUAUAUUGGUAGGUAUGGCAUUCCGCCAAUAUACAAAAUCCAAUACCAAAGCCAUACCAUUAAUUGUCGGUUUGGUAUAAUUGUCACAUCCCGGGCCGGGGCGGACCACUUUCCGGGCCCGCUCUACCAUCGUAGCACGAUAAUGUCCGCUUUAGGUCUCGGCCACACCCUUACGGUUUUGUUUCUGGGAACUCACGAGCAACUUACCAGUGGGUCACCCAUCAUGGGAGUGCUCUAGCCCCCUUCUCGCUUAACUUUGGAGUUCCUACGGAACUCAAAGCCAGUGAGCUCCCAAAAGGCCUCGUGCUAGGUAGGGAUGAGAAUAUACAUUUAAGGAUCACUUCCCUGGGCGAUGUGAGAUGUCACAAUAAUGCCAACAGAUUAUGAAAAAAAUGCAAAAAUUAUACUAUAGCAUUAUGAACUGACCGGUAUGGUUCGGUCGGUAAAUUGAUUUAUAGCAAAAUUUCCCACCCCUGUCCAGCACAAUUCAAUACUGCAAUCAGUGCUUUACAUAUCUACAUUAUUUGUUUGUAGAUCACAUUCUUUAGAUAUUUUUGGAUUAGUCUCUGUUAAGUCACUCGUUCCUCUGAGAAUAGAGGUUAUAUCGCAUCACCAGUUUAUUACGCUACAAUCAUGAACUUAUUGAAUGGAUAAUAACAACAACAACAAAGUCUUAUUCUAAUAAGUGGGGUUGACUAUAUAAACUUAAACGUCACUGCGCUCAGUUUUGCGUUUAUUAAAUGUAUACACAAUGUGUUUAAUACAUGACCAACUUUACAAAUAUUUUUGGAAAGUAACAUUCACACACUUGUUUUUUUAACUUUUUACACAUUCAUGUUUGAUUCUGACCACUAAUUAUGUAUAAUUUAUUCAAUCUAAUAGUCAUAAAUAAAAAUAAUUGAGUAAAAAACUAAAAAAAAUCCAUGACGCUACUGAGCCUGAAUUUUAAUUACAAUCCUCGUACAAGUAGGAGUGUAGGAGGAUGUGACAUAAUUGCUUUUAUUCAAUCCACAUUCUUCUCCCCCACUUGACCAUUUCAUCAACAACGUUGUCUGCCUUUGUUUCCUUUUUCAAUUUGAUGCUAGGACCAAACAAGAAACAAAGCAACACUAGACAAAAACAACUGCUGUACAAAUAAAUGAAGAUUUAGGGAAGAUAGUUUUCUUAUUAGUUAGGAUUUUUACAAUGAGUGUCGCAUUCUUUACCUAAAUAAGUUUAUAUGCUUGUCAGAUUAGUCAUGAAAACUCACUGUUAAAUUAAAUGAAUGGUAAUAAAAGCAGAAAACAUGAGGCAAAAAGUCGAAGUUAACAUUAAACUUGACAUGGAUUACCACAAUCCUACGACUACCACAUAACAAGAACACAAGGGAAACAAAAGAACAUAAAAACUAAAGUUGAGAAACAAACAAACACCCACAUUAGACAACAGACUGCAUACUUUUAUUUUAGACCACUUUUGUAGUACCCUCAAAGCUAAUUGGCAAGAUAGUUAAUCACCAUAAGUGGUAAUGCUGUCCAUAAUCUUGGCCACCACCUCCUUAGAAUCCCUCAGCUUUUUUAUGCUUUUGUUAAGCUUCUCACGCUUUACUGCCACUGCCGGCGACUCCUCCAGCAUCCUCUCGAUUCCCCCGCCGUAUGGUCCCAUCAACUCAUUCACAAUCUCAGCUUCCAACUCUUUGUUCACAAGCUUAAAGACAGACAGCUGCAAGUGCAAUGCCAUGGAGUCCACAAGCCUCCUCAAAACAACCUUCCAAUAGGCAAUCAUUCUCAUUUUAAGGUCAUAAGCUUGACCUAACACAAGCGGGUACAUCCUCAGACAACCGACUUCCACUUCCCCGAUGCCUUCUAUAUCUAUGAUAGAAGGUUUCUUCUCAUCAGCUAAGACUCCAUGAAUGAAUUCAUUUUGAUUAGCCAUCAACUUGUUCCAUUCGGAAACAUAAUCACCAUCACAUGUAUAAUCUGUCAGCUUUUCCAUCUCUACAAGCUCCAGCAUCCACUUGAUUGACCUUUCCUUCAUCUUGGCCAUUAGAUUAUGGCCGGCACGCCUUGCUGACAGCUGCAGCUGAUGAUAGUUCUCCGUAUAAUGCAUCAACACAGAAAUAACCACCUCUUCAAUGUAGCUCCACACUUUUUCCACAAAUGCUAUCGGAAUACUCGAAAUUUCAUCCACUUUUCCCUGCAAGAUACUGAGGAAAGCAUUGCGUGGAAGAAAAUUUGGAAGUGAAAUACCUUUGGCCUUCUCCAAGAUCUUGAUCUCCUUCAUCAAGAAGUUGCUCUUUGCAUCAGUUUCAGCACAUCUGUGAAGUUCAUCAGAGUACAGGUUGACCAAUCUAGCAGUGCAGUGCAUGCUGUCUUCUGCGUACUCGUCAAAUUCUCCUCUCAAAAGAAUCUUCCUAAGCGAUUCCUUAGCCAAGCCAAUGAUUUGCAUAAAGGCCGUCAUGGCCUCGGCAACAGAUGAAAGACUCUUUGGCAUUUUAUUCAGUUCCAUAAUGCAGAAGUUCAGCCUGUCAUUGAUCUUCUUCACUAUAUCGGGUAUAUUUCUUGCUAUGCUGUUUGCUUGAAUUUGGACCAGCUUCUGUGCUAAAACUGGAAUACCGACAAUGGACUUGUCAAUCUUCGAAAGCAGGGGAUGGGUUUGAAAUAGUUCAUGAGCCAUCGCCGCUGCCUCCUCAUAAGUUUCGUCACCAAUCCUGUUCCUUACACAGACAUAACCAAGACCAAUGUUUACAUCAUCUCCGGUGACCUUCUCAAGUAGUCCUUCCGGUGCCUUGUCCACUUUCGUAACCACAGCGAGCGUCCUCUCACCAGUUUUAUCUACACUUUGUGACAUCCGAAUUGACUCACACGUAGUAAAAUCCACCGUAGCAGACAAUACAUUCAGAAUAAUACUUUCUUCCGGCUUAAUAUACUCCAUGAUCAUAUCUUUGAUCUGAUCAUAAAUAUUUUCAGGUUGGCCAUGGACCGGAACCCUUGUGAUUCCCGGAAGAUCAACCAUAGUCAGAUCCGGAACCCCAUUCUUCUUCACCAACAAAUUAAGUGGCGUGUUCGAAAUUCCCUUACCUCCUCCCGCAAUAGAAUUAGUAGCUUUCACAAUAUCUUUGGCGAUAUUGUCUUCAUCAGUACGAUCAACUCUGCCAUUGUACUCCAAGGAAAGUUCAGGCUGAGGACUCGAGUGGUGUUCCAGCCUCAUAAUAAGAGGCACUCUCCUGCAGAUGCCUUGGCCCCGAGGGAGGCUGAUGCCGGCCAAGGAUUCGAGCACGCUGGACUUCCCCGAUGACUGGUCUCCGACCACCACAAUCGUUGGCAGCUGAAUGCCUUCAUCCAUCACCAUCAAGCUGCGUAACUUGUCUACCGCAUCCAGAAGAGGGCGGAUCUUGUCGUUGUAGGACGACACAAUGGGUGCGCAUUUGAGAGGUACUGCGUCUAGUUCUGCCUGAACCAUGGCGAGGGAGCCUUCACCGUUUAAAUCUGUGCAACUCGAUUCCAUUUGCCUUGGUCCUUCCGUUUCUGAAUUAUAGCAAGUGAAAAUAAUGGUGAAAAAUCUAGAGAGAAACCGAGAUAAUUUCAAGCUUAGCUAAAGAAUUGAGGUUCUCUGGCAGCUUACCCUCCAGUUGAGAACCUUUUUUUACUAAGAAUGAUUUCAGGUAAGGGAAAACACCACUUUCGUGACCCUGUAGGAAACGAAGCCUUUCCUUCCAAUGCUGCAUUUCCACAAACUCAAGAGACUCUAAUACCCCAAAAGGCAAGUUACGCUCUCCAUAAAACUCAGCACCAAUUCGAAGAUGGAGUAAAAUGUUCUGUAUUGAGUUUAUGACUUAAUGGAGUAAACUGUUCUAUUUAUAGCUACUGCUAUAUAUCAUUCUUAGCCUUUAAGCAACUUAACUGACUCUCAAUCAACAAUAACAACACAUCUAAUAAAAAUGCUACUUUAUUUGUACCAUCAUUUGCUUACACUGAUAAAUAGCACUCAUACUCAUAAGCUGACAUGGCAGCCACAUCACUUAAAGUAAGAAGAUUACUUGUCAGAGAAGAUAUCAGUCAGGAAGAAGUGAGAAAGCUGGUUUUAGUAAGUGCCUUAGGCUUAAAGGCUUCUGGUAGUACGUAUACUUGUUCAGCAUAACCUAUCGAAGUAAAUGACAACCAGCCGUUUCAAAACCGCAUGCUGAGAGAGUUGUGAUUUGGACUUCCAAACGUUUAGCAAACCACACCUCAUGCGAGCCUUUGAACCCUAAUCAGUGUAAAUGUAAUAUGGACAGUUAACUGAUGACCAUUUUUUGUGCUUGAUGCUCUUGGACUUCAAUCAACCUUUAUAUAUUAUUCAUUCAAAUAAUCGAUCACAAGCUAGCCAAUGUAAGUUGUAACCCAACAGAGACGAGAUGUUGAAGAAAAUUAUAUAUUUUUUGUACUAUGGUAAGAAAACUAAGGCACCCAUUAGAGAAAGAGAAGUGCUAGCAGCCUUUGCACUAAUAUUUGUAUUUGGACCCUUUCAGUUUAACAAAUAACACAUUAUUUUCUAUACAAAAAAAAAAAAGCAAGAAUUUUGUCUAGGAAUUAACGAUGAGAAAUUGAAUCUAACAACCAAAAUUAAAGUUAACAAAAAAAAAUAGAGAACUUAAUUCUUAUCGAAUCGAAUCUACCUUUAUGAUCGUGCUCCAGAGAAAUUGAAAAGAAUGGAGGGUUUUUGAAUUUGGUAUUUUUUGUGUGGAGAAAAAUGAAACAGAAAGAGCCUUUGAAGAUUCCUUUUUGAGUUUUCACAUUAGGAAUUGGAUAUGCUCCCAAUUUUAGUGUCCGGAGCAUGUCCAUCAAUCGAUUUGGGUUGCUAAUUUGUGUGCAAAAGAAAUCAAAGUCGUUCAUUGUGUGUGGUGGGUCAGGAAAAUAAAUUAAAGGAGGCCGUUAGAUUCAAUUUGUGUGGCCCAAAUUGGUUGAUGCACAUGCUCCAGAAACUAAGGUCUGGAGCGGAUCCAAUUCCUUCACAUUGUGGAAUUUUGUUUCACUUUUACCAUUGUAAGACCAUAGAUCAUGGAUGCUGACAUGGUUGGAUAGGUGUCAAAUGAUGGUGUCCUUGGGGUCUCCACUGUGUCAAAGAAAAAGUAGUCCCCAUGGGCAUCCGAGCGGAAAGAGAACCCACGAUAGUAUAAAGAUUUUGCAUCACACUCAUAGCUUUGACAUCAAUCCUUUUCCCCUCCUUGCCGAUGUUCUUUAUAUUUUACUUUCUUUCUUGAUAAGUUGUUUGUAGAUGACAUUUUCUGAGAAUCUCUUGGGUGUCGUAUGCGUGCUACAUCACUCGUUUGUGUCAAAAUAUAUAUAAACAUUAUUUCUUUCAAUUGAUAUUUAAAAUUAAAAGUCUACAGACACUUUUUGGGUGAACUUGAAUUAAGGAAUUCUCAUUUUAUGUGUUAAGUUUUAUGCGGAUGAGUUACGUGGUACAAAUUCAAGAAUUACUCUACAUUUUAAGCUGUUUUUUUAAACAUUUAUAAGCACAUAUAACUGAACUAGAACGCCACAUGACAAUAAAUGAAUUUUAUAUAAAUCAUUGUUACUUGGAGACUAAGAUUAUGACACCAUUAAAUAUUACAUUGUUUUGCAAGAAAAAAGAGAACAUGGGAAAGAUAACAGGACCAAAACAAUUGAGACUACAAUUUAGGACAUAUUGUACCACAUCUUAAAAAAAAAAGUGGAAUUUACUUAUAUUAUGAAACCUACUAGUAUUAAAUGGUUUACAAUGUAAUUUACUAAAGUAUAACCUCUCUAGCUGAUAAGCCUAUGAGUAAUUAGCGUUUGUAGACAUCAAAUGCUAAUGAGAAAAAAAAAAAUCUAAUUUCAUCCUAUCCACCUCUAUUAUAAAAUUUAUGUUUCAAUGCAUAUACUAACGAUCAAAAUUCAAAUUUCAAUUGUAGAACUGAACCAAAUUAUUGGUAACAAAGCGAUAAUAUAACGAUCAAAACUCAAAGAACUCAUGCCCCGAGUCUAUCAAUAUUUAUUAAAUCCAAAUGUUGUCAACUAUUGGUCUAGUGGUAACUCGUCUUAAUUUUUUACAAGCGAAAAUUCUAGAGUACAUCAACUUAUAACAUAAAUUACAAAAUUUAACGGUUAAUAUGUGUUCAAGAAAUCAAAGAAAUCUAAGAUGUAUCAUUUAUGAAUAUGGUCUACAUGCGAAAUUAUCCUCAAAGAUCAUUGUUGGACAUCAAUGACGGAAGAAAAUCGACAAGUGCUUUGAAUAUGCUCGACAACGACUCUCAACUAUGUACACUCACGAGCAGCCUUAUAGAGGGCAAGUAUCCUUGACAUAAUUCGAAGACGUAGUAACUAAAGCAUGCUUAGCAGACCUCCAAGAAAUUGUGGUUCCACCAACAACACCCAUUUGGGAUCUUGCCGUGUGCAGAUUGAAUAAGUACCCAUCAUCAACAUAACCAACAAAUGGAACUCGAGAACUGGGGUGGGGGGGGGGGUGGUGUGGGAUGGUUGCACUCGAAGUUGAGUAGGGAUGGAACAAGCCCAGGUCAACAGUACCAUUAAGAUAACAUAGAAUUUCUUUAACACCUUUCAAUGUCUGCGUGUUGGCACAUGAUUGUGUCGUGCUAAGUGAUUCAUAAUGUAGGAAAUGUUAGGUCUUGUACACUGAGAUAAGUACAACAAAGCACCAAUUGCACUUAAGUAUGGAACCUUGGGUUCUAAAACCUCUUCAUCAUCUAUCUUUGGAUAUUAUAAGUCUCGUUGUGCAUUGAUGAGUCCAUAUUGUACUAUAUAUUUUACCCUAAUCUUAGUUACAAUUUUUUGGUUAUUUUGGUGAAGUUUUGAUACUUUGGUUUAUAUUUUUAAUGUAGAACAUUUGAAUUCCUCUUGAGCAUAAAGUGAUCAAACAGACAAAUUUUGGAGCAAUUCCAACUGAAGGAUGUUCGUGAGUCUUUCAAGAUGAUUAUGUCAAAAUUCUAGAUUUUUUUACCAAGCCAUUUGACCGUGGCCAUGAUAAGAAUGCCCAGCGCGCAGUUUUUCUAGAUUGACAUUUCUGGACGUUUUGGGUAUUUUGAAGGUUAAUAUGGCAUAUUUUAAGGAAGAUUCAAUCUGAAGAUUUGUAAAUGACGUCUCAAACUUUUAAAAAAAACCUUUUGGGACCAAAUCGGAGUUGAUUUAAUUAGUCAAAAGUUUGAUUUUCUAAGAAGUCCGAAUUUCAGUUCAAAUAGGAAAUCUUUUAUUUCCUAGUCAUCUUAUUCUAUUAUGUUUCCUAGUUUUUAGAAGACCUUUUCUAAGUAGGAUUUUAUUUUGUCGUAGUACAAAUAAGGCUAUUUAGCUAUUAGGAGGGGAAGGCAUCAAUUUGGAGAACUUAGCUAGGCUUUGACGAUUUGUAUUUCAAGGUGUUUUAUAUCAUUUUUCUAUUUCAAUAAAAUUCCUUUUGUUUUAUGGUUGUUGGUAACUAAUUUCCGUUUGUUCGGGUGAUGCCUUGAGCCUUAGCAUGAAUAUGUAGUUAAUUUAAUUGCUUAUGAUAUUAUGCAUACUUUGAAUUAUCAAUCACUGUACUUUAAACUGUAUUUGUGUCUUAAUGAUUCAUGACCAUUAGGAUGAUUAGAUAAGUAAUUGGAUGCAAUUCGGUCGGAAUACCACCAGGGAAUUGAGUAUUGCUUCUUGUGAUUGAUAGUUGUAAUUUCACCUAGAGCAAAUACCAUGUCUUAGGGGUUGCAUGGUUUUUUCAAGGGGUUUUAACAAAGCGUAAUGAGUCAUGCAUGUUUAUAUUUGAUCUGAAUACCACAGACAGAUUGCAUGUUUGAUAUACAUUCUAGCUUGAAUACCACGAGUAGAAUAUACAUUAGGAAAACCUAACCUUCAAAGUUGCAUGGGUAAUUCGUAAGUAAUUAGUAAAUCUACAUAGGAUUGUUCAGGGGAUGGCUGAAUCUUAGUGCUUUUCUAAAUUUAUUUCUUAAAACCUUUUCUUUUUUAUCUGAUUUCUUCUUAAUUGGUUACUAGUAGUUUUGUGACAACCCGUCCCGAAUUUGUAUGUAUUUUAAUCCCCGAGUGUGUAAAAUGACGGAAAUGCCCUCGAGGCUUAGUGACGUGGAUGUACAUAGAUAGUUUUAAAUUAUUUUUCUCGCUGUCAUAAUUAAAUCAUACACGACGCCACGAGCGCAUUGACGCGAAUUAGGGUUGAAUCGGAUUCGUAACGAAAAUGUUACAAACGAAUAGGUGUAAAUGAAUAAGUUUGGAUUUAUACCUAACCCACCAAUCAUAUUACUUCCUACAAUCUUGGACCCAAUUAAUUGUUUGGGUUAGCUUUAUUUCUUUUUGGACCCUAAAACCCACCAUCUCUUCUUGCCCAAUCCGGAGGUGCGCGCGCGCGCACACACACACACACACACACUAAAAAUAUCUCAUUUCUCUCCUUGGUGACCAAUCACACACACACACUAAAAAUCUCUCAUUUCUCUCCUUGGUGACCAAUCAGACGCACACACACACACAACCUCAUCUCAUCUCCUUCAUCUUCUCGAACUCUCUCAUUCGUCUGUACACCGUACGAACACCAUUCACAAAUCCACCAAAAACUUCACGGAUCAAGUAUUUGAACACCACUAUCACCUUUCCAGUGAUCUCAUGAGCGAAACUCUGAGAACCCAGAGCUUCGGCGAGGUACUCUAUUACUCUAAUGUGAUUAUGGACAUUUCAUGAGAUUUUGAGGCUUAAAUAGGGUCUUAAUCAACUCUAUAAGGAUCCUAGGCUAGUUUUGGACUGGUUUGAACGUCAGAAUCCUCGAGAUCACGGAGUUGCAGUUUUGGCUGGUUGUGUCGAGCUAUUUUCUGUCCAUUUCUCGAAGGUUUUAGGUUCCUAAAUAGGUAAGGACUUGUUCUCCUUGUUGAGAGCUUCAAUUCCAUAUAAACUUUAAGAAUUUUGGUUGAGUUUUGAAGAAGAUAUGAAUAUUUUAAAAUUUCCCAGUUUCCGGCGAGUUCAGACGGCGGCGGAGGACAACGGAUUCCGUCGAAGUUCACCGUUGAAGACAGAGAAUAUUCCGUGAACUUUAACGGAAUAUUCUAACGGCGUCAGGUAACUUUAACGGAAUAUUCUAGGAUUUUAACGAAAUAUUCCCUAACGCUGUUAGGGUUUCCGUAGUUGUAUCAAACACGUGCCUGCGCGUGGGACAUCAGAAAAUUGUUCUAAAAAUAUGGGGAUGUUCGUGGUGUUAAGUAGCCCACGAUGAUAUAUUCAAACACUCAAAUUGAGCAACGCAUGAGAAAUUAUUACACGGUUUUGGUUAUGUACUUUCAAAUUAACAUUUAAUCAGUUGUUUCACAUAUGGGUGAGACGUUUUCGGAGGACGAGUGUAGCCAGGUAGGACUUGGGGGCUACGACCCUGCUACAUACCAGUGAGUGGGCUUUUGGUUUUCUAUAUAUACGUAUAUAUGCUUUACUUUUUCUUAGAAACUUUUUAAAAUGGAUUCACGUUUUUUAAAUGCCAUGUCAAUUGCAUCACAUUUUAGUAUAUGCAUUAGUAUAGAUAUGCAUAAUGUUGCAUGACACUGCGGACGCCCAGGUAAGCUUCAGGUGAGUACAUAUUGAUGAUAGAGAUGGCAACGUGUAUGGUUAUGUUUAGAUAUAUUUAGUGCUCAUUAUCUUGCACCUCGGUAUUAGUGCUCCACUCGAGGCCAGGGCCUAGCGUUCACGUGAUUGUUCGCCUCCCUUACCACACGCUCACCUUGGAUCUAAUGCAGGUGCCAGCCUGUUGUACAGACCACAUUAGGUGGUUCCGACUCGUAGGUGCCUUGCGAUAUUUCGCACAGCCUUCACGUGAUCGUAGCACUUGAACGUACUUAUUCACACCCAGCCUGUCGUACAUACCACAUUAGGUGGUUCUGAAUCGUGUGCAGGAAUUGGUAGAUGAGCUAUAGGUUUAGCCAUACAGGUCACGUUAGGUGACUCCCGCUGCCAUAUCACUUUACAUUGUUUCACAUCACCUGGCUUAUAUAUUUUAUUACUAAGAUACUUGACAUGGCAUAUACUCGGUUUUCACCGAUCUCGAGUAUGAUUUCUAUAUAUGUAUGUAUUAUUAUUUUCUAGGAAAUUAUACGGGUUUUACGGUGAGGGGUUAUUAUGUUUAAAAAGAGAAAUGUGUUUUCAAAACUUUGCUUUUGCCCACUCACAAUUUCUGUUUUGUGCCCUCUAGGUUCUAGCUAGAAGUUUUUGUUGGUGGCUCAUGAGGACUCUACGACGGUUCUGACAGCCUUGCAAUAAUGUAGGAACUUUCUUUCACGUUCUGUAUAAUUAAUACUUAACUUACUAGACUGCACUUAGGUUACCUAUGCUCUGAGUAUUGUAUUUCCCACUUUAAACACUUUCACACACUUACAUACUACUCUAGUGUAACUUAGUUAGUUUUAGUUUUUAAUUACCCACAUUUCAAAUCACUAUCACUUCCGCAUUGCGCACAUGGCUACAUCACCCUCACGUGACGACCAACAUGCCUCGAUUCAGGUCGAGGUGUGUCAUGUUUUUCCUAAAUUAAUUUUAUUAAAUUCGUUUUUAUUAUAUUUAAAUUCAAAAUCAAAAUUUUUGAAUCCUUGUUUUUAGAUAAUUAACUAAGAUUUUGGUUUUGCAUAAAUUGUUUUAAAUAAUCCUUGUGGAAACGAUCUUGCUUGAACCGUUUAUACUACAAUUACCUUAUUCUCUUGCAAGUAUUUUGUGUGAUUAUAACCUCUUUACAUAGGUACUAAAAAUCCUAUCAUGCAUCAAGUGUACGGGUGGCCAUGAGAGUACUCAAAGGCAACACUUUAUCAUUAAAGCAAUGUAACACCGUCUUGGUGUUGUUUGACUGAUGGACCAGAAUUUUGGAUUGUGAACUACCUUAGUACAUAUGUGCAGAAGUGUGGCGGGUGACGUAAACAUAAAUAAUCAUUUUAACAUGCAUGUUAAUGGAAUGUUGGAUUCCGUUUAAUCAUAUUAAAUUAAUUUAUGUAUUGAUUAUCUUCAGGUAUAAUAAACCACAAAUGUGUGUUGCACGCCCUAGGGAAAUUUUUGAGAAACUUUUGGGUUCACUAGUCUGUAUCACGCCACUUGCUCGUCUAAAAAAGAGAUUCUUUCACGUCACCAGUUUACCAUGCUACAAUUUUGAAUUUAUUAGAUGGAUAAUACAUUUUGUUUAAUAAAUGACCAACUUUACAAAUAUUUUUGUGAAGUGAUUUCACACAUAUUUUUUAGCUUUUUACACACCCAUGUUUAAUUUUGGAUGUUGAUUCUGUUUGAUUUAUUCAAUCUGAUGGCCAUAAAUAAAGAGAGGUAUGUGAGGAACUAAAAAUGGUGUGUGAAAAUCCAUGACACUGCUGAGCAUGAAUUUUAGUUAGAUGAAAAAAAACCUUACGCCUGAUACAAGUGGGAGGACAUGACAUGAUUGCCUUUAUUCAAGGAUGAGGAAUGCUAAGGUGACUAUCAAGAGUAGGACUCUCCAAGAACUCUUUGCCACCUCAUAGUUAGUUUAACGUCAAUUCAUUCAUGUGCCAGCAUUAUAAGACUAAUGCUAGGAAGACUAAAUUUGUAGACUAAAUUUGUAAACUAAAUGACAUGGAAGUUGAUUAUUAGAUUAUUACUUAAGCGUUAAUAAACGUGCUCAUUUUCUAUUGGUGACACGUCAUUUAGUUUGUAAAUUUUGUCUACAAAUUUAGUCUCCAUAGCGGUACUUGUAUUAUAAAACAUUGUGCCAAAUAUAUGAGGUGACAAAGAGUCUCAAUUUUGAGAGAGUAUCAUUAGCAUUUCUCUUCAAGAAUUUAUCCACAUUCUCCCUACUUAAUAAUUUCACCAAAAAUGGUUUCUGAAUGCUAAUGAUACUCCCUCAAUUUUGAGAGAGUAUCAUUAGCAUUUCUCUUCAAGAAUUUAUCCACAUUCUCCCUACUUAAUAAUUUCACCAAAAAUGGUUUUUGAAUGCUCACUUAUCAAAAUUAAGCCCCUGUUUAGUAUUUUUUUUUUCAUCAAAAGUUGCUUCACUUUAAAGUUAAGUAGUAAAAGUGUGUUUGGUAAAAAUAAAUUAUUUUGCUUAUAUUAAGCAUAAUGAAUGACCUCUAGAUAGCAGCUUUUAAAAGCAUCUUGUAGAUACAAAUGCUUUAAUACAAAGCAGAGUUGAGCCUUUAAUGAAUAUUUUUAAUUCCUAUAAUACGCUAAAUAAUUUUAAAAAAUAACAUUAUUUAUUCUUGUAGGCACAUUUUAUCAUUGAAGAAUAAAGUUGUGAAAUCUCGUUCCCAAAAGUUCAUUAUUUAAUUUAUGUAUUUCAUAUCUAUUUGAUUUUAUUUAACUAUAUUUUUGUUAAUAUUAGAAUUUUAAUUAUUUAGUUACAAAUUUUAGUUUUUCAUAAUUAGUCAAAAAGAAAAAAAAACUAGAAUCUGCCAGAUGGCAGCGGGAGAGAGAUAGACCAAUUAGAAGAGAGAGAAAUGAGAGAAAGGAUGGGGACCUAGCCAAUCAGAAAAGAGAGCAAGGAGGGGAAAUGAGGGAGAGAAAAACCACCCAAUACCGGAUUUUUGCAUCGACUUGUGAUUUCGUCGAUUUCAUCGGUUUUUCCGACGAAUUCCACUUAGCCGUCACUUGCACACUCCACCCCGACCUCCAUUCUCUCAUUUCCACAAAAAAUACGUGAGUUUUUGGCCUGGAUUUCACAAAAAAUUGCGUCGAGGGCUUUGUGGGUGCACGGUGUCAAUUUCGUCAUUUCUAAAAGGUUUUUCGUCAACCACUGCCACCCUUAGGCGUCUUUUGAGUCCAAGAACAUAGCCUAAAUGAGUUUGGGGGUUGCAGAGCUGCGAAUUCGACAAAUCGAGGAACACCCAUUUCUAGGGUUCCGAUGGAUCGAGGGUGUUUUCAGGCGUUUCUCGGUCAAAUUGGACUUUGGCCUAGGUAUGAAAGUUGUUUCCCUUGUUGUGAUCUACAAUUCUGUAAAAUUUGGUAAUUUUUAGAGUUAGGUGAAUUUUUUGGUGAGUCGAGGCGACACAUGGCCCGAAGAACCACUUGACCUUUCUUGGCUAAAUUCAAUACCCUGAUUCCAUAUGUGACUUGUAAUUGAUGAAAUCCCGUCGUUCGAACAUAGUUUUGAUAGAGGCUGCCACUUGAUCAUUAUAUGAAUUGACGAUCCAACCGUUGGAUCGACACCAAACUUUAGUGCGUUAUAGUACGUAAUAUUUGAGACAUUAGUAACUUAGCGAUCAGGAAUCUGAUGUACGGAUCUUUCCGAAUUGAAUUUCUAAGUUUGUAAAAUCAAACAUUGGCCACCAUUUAAUUUUAGCGAUUGGCGGAGAUCUGACAGUCGGAUUGUUCUGAAAUUUUAGGAUAUUGUUCUAGGAGAUUAUUGAGAGUCUUGGGAAGUUAUGCAUCGGAGAUCCAUGGGCAGAUGUUCUAGAUCGAAUUAUAUAGGGUUGUGGACCCCACCGUUGACAGAGAGUUGACUUUUGGUCAAUAUGUUACGAAUUGAUCUUAAAUAAUAAAAUUAGUAUUACUAGAUACUAAGUAGGGCUUAGUGGGCCUAUAUGGGUUGGUGAGCUAUCACAGGUAAUAUAUACCUCGGUAUACGUGUAUGGGAUGCUUUAUGGUGAUAUAUAUAUGUGUGUGUAAUUAACUUCUUGAUAAUACGAAUGAUACGAAUGAUACGAAUGAUAAUUUUUAUGACAAUGUGAGCCUAGAAACCUAUUAGAAGUAUCCUGGUAGAACUUGUAUGCUUAUGUGACAUGUUAGUUAGUGGCCAUGAGGAAUUGAUAGUGCAGGUGAUUACGUUGUAAAUCAUAGAGGUUGAGAUAUACGAGUAAGUAGGUUGUGUGGUGAUAAGAAUGGAUCAUGUAAUAAUGUGGUACGUGGGUGGUCCUGCUUGGUUAAUCUACAUUAGGGGACCACGCCAUGUGAUGCAGGGGUAUGGUCCGGUUUGGUUAAUACACAUUAAGGGACCAUACGCAUCAUAGGGGUGACCCUGCUUGGUUAAUCCGCAUUAGGGAGUCACUGCCUAGGCCAUUUCUUUAUUUCCAUAGUUGGUCUUACUUGGUUAAUCCGCAUUAGGGGACCAUACUAUGGACGAUCCUACUUGGUUAAUCUGCAUUAGGGGACCAUAUGCAUCAUGGGGGUGACCCUGCUUGGUUAAUCCAUAUUAGGGGGUCACUGCCUAUUCCAUUUCUCUAUUUCCAUAGUUGGUCAUGCUUGGUUAAUCUGCAUUAAGGGACCAUACUAUGGGCGGUCCCAAUUGGUUAAUCCGCAAUAAAGGAUCAUACUAUCGGAUACAUGCCUAUGGUUCUACUUGGUAUAUCUGCAAUAGGGGACCAUACGCAAUCUAUGAGUGAUUAUACUUGAUAUAUCCGCGAUGGGUGAUCAUUGCCUGCACAGUUGGAUUAUGCUUAUGAUUCUGCUUGGUAUAUUCGCAAUGGGAGACCAUACACAUUUUAGGGGUGAUGAGGAUUAGUUGUACUUGGUACAUUUCGAUAGGAGCCAUAUUUUAGUCGAAUUUCGUUGAGUGGUUCGAAAUCCUUACUCUUGCUUAUUUCCACAUAAUUAGUCUCGAACCCUAGAUUCGAGUGAAUGAGGAUUACUCACAGUAGACCUUAUGAAUAUAAAUUAGAUUUACCAUGUUAUUACUUAUAAAUCAAGUAAGGAAUUAUGUAGGGUUCUUUAAAUUAAUUCAUGAAAUGAUAUGUUACCUCAUUAAUUGAUUAACGUAGUUAAAUGUUAUUAUUAUGCAUCCUUGAUUCAUGAAAUUGAUUAAUUUACAUGAUUGUGGAAUGACAUUGGUUAUGGUUGGUGUUACUAUGAUUAGAUUAGUUGAUUAAUGUGGAUUGAGAAUAAUAUUGUGCUUCAUUGGUUCUUUGAUAUGAUACAUGUUGUGAAUUGAGGUAUCAUGUUGAAAACAUAGUGAUUUAUAUGAUCGAUGGAAUGGAAAUCUUGAAUGUCAUGUGGGUUUAUUUUGUAGCCCUGAACCUGGUAAUUUCAUGCUUUUCAAGUUCUAAUAAUUGAUUGAGGAAUGCUCUACUUUUAUGCUUAAACGUACUGUGAUAAACUCAGAGUGUAGUGAAUGGUGAACUACGAAUGACUUGAUCCCGUCUUUGGGUACAUAGGCAGUCUAACACAAAGGUUAGAUGCAGCCAUGAAAUAAAAGAAAAUGACUGCGUGGUUAAAUCAUAUUAUUUUUUUUCUUGUCUCGGAGACGAGACAUGAUGAAUAAACUAAGAUGUGCUGAUAUCACGUGUCGAUCUUGGACGUAUGUCGGGAUCGGGGCAUGACAAAAGUGACCACCGCCAUAAUCACCACCAUUGUUGCCACCACCACCACACUACAAUUGUGCCACCACCACCACCACCAUUGCCAUUGUUACCACCAUGCCAUCACCCCCACCAUAAACACAACCGCCACCACUGCUACCACAACUGCCAUCAUCACUGUUAUUGCCACCCCUACCACCGAUGUUGCCUCUGCAGCCCAACCACCACACCCCUUUAUUGGCACCACCACCACCAGCACCACACCAUCACAACCCUUGCCCUUAUCACCAUUGUCGUCGUCAUCACCAAUAUUGUUACGUCUAUUUUUGUCAUUAUAUACAAUUAUAAAUUAUCAAACGCUUUUACACUGUUUUUUAUACUCACAACACUUCUAAAAAUAUAGUUCAUCAAACACUAAACAACUUUAUUUUGUACCAGAUUAUUCUUAAAGCACAUCAGAAGCAGGUUUUUAAAAAAACACAUCAAUCUCAAAAUGGCCUUAAGAUUAUGGGUUUUUCAAUUGAGGUAAAUAUAUUAUGUAUUUGACCAAAACGAUUUUAAAUAAUUUGUCAUAAGAUGACGCGAAAGAAGAACGGAAAUGUGACACAUGAAAUUGAACCAAAGCAAAUGAUUUUCUUGGGUUUUAACACCCAUAUAUUUUUUUGUUGGUUUAUCAUUUUCACCAAGCUCCACCUCAUCUAUAAUCUUUAUGUAUUAUGUUCCGAUCCCGAAACCAAGCUCCACCUCAUCAAUAAUUAAAUAAUUUGAUGGCAUUACUUUUGUUUCCUUUCUCAAUUUAAAGGCCCAAACAAGAAACAAAGCAACACUAGACAAAGACCACUGCUGUAUAAUGGGUGUUUUAGAAACUCAAAAGGAAAGAAACUCAAAAGCUUCAAUUUGUUUGUCGUGCUCUUUUAACUUCCACUUUUACUGUUAUACAAGCGAAAACAAGAGAGAUUUAAUAUGAGUAAAGGGAUACUUUACUUCUUGAGAUACAAGUUUACUGUUGUAAUCUAGCAAGGUUUCUUCUAAGGAUCUUGGCUUUCUUUAUCUGUAAAGAAGAUGGGUUUUUGGUUGUUUAAUUAAUUUCUACCCAGAAUUGCAAGAUAAAAAGGGAUACAAAGGAGAAGACACACACACACGUGUUUUUUUAAAGAUGAUUACAUUUCCUGGAUAGAACUGAGAAGAUAUAUAAACCGGCAAACAAGUUUAUUUAUCUUAGGAAAGUAACAGUAUUUCCAUAUUCACUUUCAUGUUAUUACAACUUUCAUCUUAUUACAACUUUGAUGUCGAAAAUUAGAAAAUUUAAGGAAGGUGGUUUUCUUAUCAGUUAGGGUUUCUAUAAUGCGCGUUGAAUUCUUUAUCUAAGUAAGUUUUUAUCUGUUAGAUCACGACGGCUCACUGUCAAAUUAAAUGAAAAGUAAUGAAAGCACAAAACAGAAAACAAAAUAUCGUAGUUGACUGCUGGUAGGAUAAAUUUGCAGUUAAAUUUCAUCGAAAACAUUAAACUUGACAAGGAUUACCAGAACCAUAAAAUUACCACAUAACAAGUACACAAAGGAAACGAAAAACUUGAAACAAAAGUUCACAAACAAAUAACCAACGACAUAAGAAAACAGACUGCAUACUUUUAUUUAGACCAUUUUUUAGUACCCUCAAAACUAAUUGGCAAGUUAGUUAAUCCCCAUAAGUGACAAUGCUGUCCAUAAUCUUGGCCACUACCUCCUUAGAAUCCCUCAGUUUUUUUAUGCUUUUGUUAAGCUUCUCACGCUUUACUGCCACUGCCGGGGACUCCUCCAACAUCCUCUCAAUUCCCCCACCGUAAGGUCCCAACAACUCAUUCACAAUCUCAGCUUCCAUCUCUUUGUUCACAAGGUUGAAAACAGACAGCUGCAAGUGCAAUGCCAUGCAGUCCACAAGCCUCCUCAAAACAACCUUCCAAUAAGCAAUCAUUCUCAUUUUAAGGUCAUAAGCUUGAGCUAACACAUGCGGGUACUUCCUCAGAACACCGACUUCCACUUCCCCGAUGCCUUCUAUAUCUAUGAUAGAAGGCUUCUUCUCAUCAGUUAAGACUCCAUGAAUGAAUUCGUUUUGACUAGCCAUCAGCUUGUUCCAUUCGGAAACAUAAUCACCAUCACAUGUAUAAUCUGUCAGCUUUUCCAUCUCUACAAGCUCCAGCAUCCACUUGAUUGACCUCUCCUUCAUCUUGGCCAUUAGACUAUGGCCGGCACGCCUUGCUGACAGCUGCAGCUGAUGAUAGUUAUCCGUAUAAUGCAUCAACACAGAAAUAACCACCUCUUCAAUGUAGUUCCACACUUUUUCCUCAAAUGCAAUCGGAAUACUCGAAAUUUCAUUCACUUUUGCCUGCAAGAUAAUGAGGAAAGCAUUGCGUGGAAGGAAGUUCGGAAGUGAAAUACCUUUGGCCUCCUCCAAGAUCCUGAUCUCCUCCAUCAAGAAGUUGCUCUUUGCAUCAGUUUCAGCACAUCUGUGAAGUUCAUCCGAGUACUGGUUGAGCAUCUCAACCAAUCUAGCAGUGCAGUGCAUGCGAUUGUCUUCCGCGUACUCCUGAAAUUCUCCUCUCAAAAGAAUCUUCCUAAGCGAUUCCUUAGCCAAGCCAGUGAUUUGCAUAAAAGCCGUCAUGGCCUCAGCAACCGAUGAAAGACUCUUUGGCAUUUUGUUCAGCUCCAUAAUGCAGAAGUUCAGCCUGUCAUUGAUCUUCUUCACUAUCUCAGGUAUAUUUCUUGCUAUGCUGUUUGCUUGAAUUUGGACCAGCUUCUGUGCUAAAACUGGAAUGCCGACAAUGGACUUGUCAAUCUUCGAAAGCAGAGGAUGGGUUUGAAAUAGUUCAUGAGCCAUCACCGCUGCCUCCUCAUCAGUUUCGUCACCAAUCCUGUUCCUUACACAGACAUAACCAAGACCAAUGUUUACAUCAUCUCCAGUGACCUUCUCAAGUAGUCCUUCCGGUGCCUUGUCCACUUUCGUAACCACAGCGAGCGUCCUCUCACCAGUUUUAUCUACACUUUGUGACAUCCGGAUUGACUCACACGUAGUAAAAUCCACCGUAGCAGACAAUACAUUCAGAAUAAUACUUUCCUCCGGCUUAAUAUACUCCAUGAUCAUAUCUUUGAUCUGAUCAUAGAUAUUUUCAGGUUGGCCAUGGACUGGAACCCUUGUGAUUCCCGGAAGAUCAACCAUAGUCAGAUCCGGAACCCCAUACUUCUUCACCAACAAAGUAAGUGGCGUGUUUGAAAUUCCCUUACCUCCCCCCGCAAUAGAAUUAGUAGCUUUCACAAUAUCUUUGGUGAUAUUUUCUUCAUCAGUACGAUCAACUCUGCCAUUGUACUCCAAGGAAAGUUCAGGCUGAGGACUCGAGUGGUGUUCGAGCCUCAUAAUAAGAGGCACUCUCGUGCAGAUGCCUUGGCCCCGAGGUAGGCUGAUGCCGGCCAAGGAUUCGAGCACGCUAGACUUCCCGGAUGACUGGUCUCCGACCACCACAAUCGUUGGCAGCUGAAUGCCUUCAUCCAUCACCUUCAAGCUGCGUAACUUGUCUACCGCAUCCAGAAGAGGGCGGAUCUUG
rnacentral:lncRNA from 1 species